UGGAGUUAAAAGAAUGCCAUGUCCAGCAAACUGUGAAAGGUGGGUGAACUCUAAUGCAACAAAAUAACUUACGACUAACAUGAACAAAUUGAUGAUAUGGCAUCAUUGCAUACAUAGAGUAAUGCAAAAAAAAGAAGUAAUUAUGGCUUGCAUGAUUAGUUGUUUAUGUGGCAUGGUUACAUAGCUAGGAAAAAUAGGUAGUGGGUUGCAGCUAUUUAAAAAUAGAAGAUUAAUUAUGAUGUGAGGCAAAUGAUUUGGCAGCCAUGCAUAAUUGGUUGAUGUGAAAGGCUUACAUGCAUGGAAAAAUAUAGUUAGUGGGACAGUAGAUUAAUGACAUGGCGAACAUGUGUGGUUCGUUGAUUUGGAAGCCUUGCAUGCUUAGCAAAAUUAGUCAGUGGGUUGCAACUAUUAAGAAUAGGAGAUGUAUAAUUGGAGUUAGCAUUGUUGUUUUGUCCCGUUAGCUUGUUAGAACUUUAUGUGGUGCAACAGAAAUAAUGCUCUUGUUGUGCUUUCAUUCCUUUGAGUUUGUCAACUUCUCUCGAUUGAUAUUCAGCUUCAGAGCAAUUGUAAAAAGUUUCAGUAAAAUACACAAAAGAAAAAUAAGUAUGCUGGAAAACUUAUUUCUGUAUUUAUCUGCACCAGAAAUCUGGGAAUGCUAGAAAUACGGCAUUAACUUGAUUGUGUCCAGCAAUUUCAGUGUGGAGUUUGAGACGACUACACUUAUUGGCAACUCAUAUUUUUUCUUCAGCCAAAAGGAACUCUUCAUAGCUAUUAGCAUAGUUGGUUCUGCCGCAUCCACAUUCAUAAACAAGAAUUACAUGCAGAUACAAUGGUCCGCCAGGCAGCGAUGACCGUCAAGUGCAUGCUACUUAUGUACUACAAGAACAGCAGAGGCCGUAACUACCGUAGGCAGGUGAUAAAUCUCUUGUGUGUCUGUUCUUAAACUUCUUAUUUAGUGAUGCUCUUUUAGUCAUCAUAUUUAUAACAUCCUGUGUGUAGUUUUCUGCAAAAGAAUAAAAAUAAAAAAUCCUGUGUGUAGUGUUGCACCCCAUGGAGCGUGAAGCUAUACCGUUGGCAUGAAAUUCCCUUCUGUCCCCAAACUGCACAAUCUUUGUUGUAAGAGAAAUUUUGUCCAUGUCCAUAAUAGUACUGGUCUUCCCUCAGAUACUACCCUCUGUACUGGUACUUUAGUCGUUUGGUCAUCCCAGAUAUUCCUGCAGUGCAAGUCGGGCAAGAGUUGCGAGUCGACGAGUCGAGCCGAGGUUGAGACUCAUAGACUAAUCAUGACUAGUCUAGACUACUGCUGGACUAGUCGACAUGGUACUGCAGUACUCAACUUACAGUACUCAACUAAUACCUAUGUACUCCCUCUGUAAACAUAUAUAAGACGUUUUAGAUCACUAUUUUAGUGAUCUAAAACGUCUUACAUUUAUUUACAGAGGAAGUAUUAUAUACUAGUAUAUAUUACAGUACAAUAUGCAAUAAAAUUUGAGUUGAUUUAGAGGAGGAUCACAUCAGCAUAGGAGAACAGCCAGGGGAGGAGCACAACAGCAGAGGGGUGGAUCCAGGGGAGGAGCAGAACCAGCGGAGGGAGAGCGUCGUAAUGCUCCUGGCCACUGCUGGUGGUGGUGGUGGGUGGCAGCGGUGGCGGCGGCCUAGUCCCAGGUGCGGUGGCUCGUUGUGGAGCGAGCCUGGAAAGCUAGGGCUACAAUUUUUUCCCUCCCGUGGGCUAAGCUCUCACUUAUCCCUCCCAAAUUGAGUCGAUUGACUCAAACACCCAGAUUAGUCUGGACUAGUCGAUGACUAGUUGCUCCACUGUUCGACUCAACAGACUAGUCUAUACGAAGAAGCUAGUCGACAAUCAGAUUGAGACUACUAGACUAGUCUAAAUAGUCGUUAUACUCGUAAUCAUUGAAGUCGGGUGCCUAAUUAACUGUAAGGGCCAAAACUGCAUGCCCUCAUUUCUAGCCUGUAUGCCCUCCUUUCCAGCCCUUGUAGAACGUCUAGCCAAUGCAUGCUUCGGUUUCUACUCGAUGAUAGCGCUGCAUGGGAAGGCCAACAAGCGUGCAAUAAUGAUGGCAAUUAACCGCUAAAUUCUGAUUCAGUUAGGGAGGAUAUUUAAUACGCAUCUUGAUCGUGGAGCCAUGGUCCUGCCGACUUACAAUCCCCCCGGAGGGAGUACCAAAAAUCUCUACUGAAUUAGUGUGCGCAGCUGCUGAAUGCUUCAUGUGUUCUCACAAUAUGAAAAUUUUAGCACCAGAUAGUUUUUAACAUUCUCACACCUAGGAAUAAUUGCAAGCAUCUCUCACAAGUUUCUAACGGUAUGCCGCUUACUGAAUAAUGUUGAAAAUUCAUCAUUUGUUAUUCUGCUGUUGGCUUCAUCCGCUAUUUGUUCUGGAGUAAGAGUAACAUGGACCGAACUGUCAUGUUUAGAACAACUGGUUAUGGGGGCUUCAUUCACGAAUAAAUGGGAUAAUGCUUCCAAAUGUUGGAUUUUCAAUCAUUGUGAUUUUGGUGCUAUGGAACUUCCUUUGAUCCUUUGUUUAAGUACUGAUGGGCUUUUACCUGGUUCUGAGGAUUUUCCUAUUCUUAUUUUAGGGACAAAUGCUAACACUUGUGGAGUACCUUCUGCUUCUAUAUCGUGCUUUAUUGCCGACUCCUGUUUGGUACCGUUUCUUUCUGAACAAGGAAUAUGGGAGUCUGUUCUCAUCUUUAACUACUGGGCUAUACCUGACUUUCAAGUUGACUUCAGUAGUUGAGAAGGUACUUUUGCUUCUUGCUUAUUGCAUUUUGCAUGCUGAUGCAGUUGGUCAAAACCGUAAAAACUUGUCUUGUGCAUGUGACAUUUUUACCAUCUCUCAUUUUUGGCCAUGUGUCCUCCAGGUUCAAUCAUUCUUAUCUGCAGUGAAAGCAUUGUCACGUAAAGAUGUGCACUAUGGGUCUUAUGCGACAGCAGAACAGGUGAAAAGAUCAUUUGUUCUCAAGUGCCUGAACUAAAAAUGCAGUAUGCUGUGAAUACUCAUUACAUUGAGGAUACUAUCGUUCCGAGAAUAAUGUUGAUAACUCCCUGUGUUCAACUGUGUAAUGAUGUUCCCUAAUGUUGGCGCGCUUCUUACAAGUCGUCUUUUGCAAUGGCGUUUUUCGAAUAUGCGAAGUUGGCAGUGUCAUAUAUCGAAUUAACCCAACUCUUGCUUGUUGUGAUUAGUUUUUUUUUCUGUCUCCUUUGUGGAGUUAAAAAGACUGCUAACAGGAGUUUCAUUGUCACUUAACUCUGGUUUUUUUUAAUUGCAUACUAACACCUGAGGAAGUUUCUAAUUCUGUGUUGCUCUUCUUAUAUUAUUUAAAGAUGACUACAUCACAUUAUUAUUUUGUUAUUUACCUUCUACUCCAGUAUAUAAGUUCUCAGUUGUCCACAAUCUAGUGAAUAUGGAUAAGAUUAGUUCUCUCUGUUUUGCCAUUUCAGUUAGGAGCUAAGAAUUUAAAGACCACUAAUGUAUAUGUGUGUUGGUGGAACUCACUGCAGGCAGUCGCUGCCGGUGAUAUGUGUGCCAUCUGCCAGGAAAAGAUGCACGUUCCUGUUCUCCUUCGCUGUAAACAUAUUUUCUGCGAGGACUGUGUCUCUGAAUGGUAACUUUCUCCUCUUAUAUGUUCUUUUAUUGUGCUUUAUUUUGUUGGUUGAAUGCGUAAUGCAUCUAGUUUGUUGUACAAUUGAUUCUUGCAUCUUGUUUACAUUUGGCAAUGUGUUCUUGCAUAUUCGUUGCGCUUGAAUGAACUUGCAAGGGGUAUGGUUUACAGGAUAAUGAACCACUUUGUAACUCUUAGUACGACCAGGGGUUCUAGAGCUCAUAUGAGCAAGACCUUUUCAUGGCAGUGCAGAUGUUCUAUUGAUUUUGUAUAAUUAGGAGUGCAAUGGGAUUUUCUUUUCUUUCUUUUCAGUACCGUGUUUCAAUGUAUAGGUUUAUGCCUUAAUUUACCUUUAUCCACAUCUGGAAAUUUCAACUAAUGAUAGUUUUUAUCUGUUUAUGUUCUAGGUUUGAGCGAGAACGAACUUGCCCUUUGUGUAGAGCAUUGGUAAAGCCUGCUGACAUUCGGUCAUUUGGUGAUGGUUCUACAAGUCUCUUCUUCCAGUUGUUUUAGAGCCCAAAUGGCAAACCCUAACACAUAACAAUCGAUCACAAGCAAUUGGCUAUAAGAAAAGUCCAGGUGGAAGUCCUUUGUUCUUUAUGAUGUGGCACCAUCUUCCCUGUGUGGAAUGAGGAUACUGAGAAUGUUUGUGAAAAUUAUCUCAUUGCAACCAUCCCAUUCAUGCAUAUGUUCAAGCAAUGGUUCGGGUCAGUUGCAGCAUCUGCAUAAAGUUUGCAAUAGAAGGAAAUAUAGCUGGAGGAAUCUGCUCCUGCGAAUCCUGAAGUGCCGGACCACAUCUUGCUAUUGACUUGCGUAAUGUAAAUUUGGUAACAUUUUUUUACAAAAUUGAAUGCGUUUUGGUUUAAUUCGAGCUUGCAAGUUUUGCAUGCUAGCAGAAUUCUGUUUGAGAAAGGGGUAGAAAUGUAACCUGUAAAGCUGUGAUAUAUGAAAUGUUGAGAGCCUAUACAUUGUACUAUUUACAAACAGUAAAUAUUACGAGGACCACAAUGUUAACACAUGUCUUGUUCUGAUAAUCAGAUAUGUUUCCGGUAUUGCGUGUAAUCCUGAAGCGUUGGUACUCCCUUCAUUUUUAUAUACAAGGUCACAAACUCAAAUUACAAGUAUCAAAAUAAAAUUUAAUACAUGUUUUAUAAGCCAGCUUUUCUUUUCGUUUACUGGGAUCAUCAAUACACCACGUGCAUGCAAUAAAACUGAGUGGAGAAAGUAGCUGCAUGCAAGUAUUAAAGAAGUUGCUAGUAUGAGAAAAUUUGCCUUGAUACCUUAUAUAGAUGUAAAAUAUAUAUUUCAUAGUGGCCUUGUAUAAGUAAAUGAAGGAAAUACGUCCUCUAAUACUGAACAACUGAUUUAAUCAUGUACUCACAACUGUAUUCUCAUGUGCUACUAAUGAUAAAACUUGCCUCGAUACCUUGUAUAGAUAUAAAAUAUAUAUUUUACAGUGACCUUGUAUAAGUAAAUGAAGGAAGUACGUCCUCUAGUACUGAACAGCUGAUUUAAUCAUGUACUCGCAACUGUAUUCUCAUGUGCUACUAAUGAUACUAGUAAAUGGCACGUGCUAUGCACGGACCUAUGUCAAUUUUGUUUUGUAUUUAUUAACUUAUUUUCUUCAACUAAGAUCCAUACACACACAUGGACAUAAAUUGGACGAUAAAUAAGUCCGCUAAUCUCAUACAGUUUCUAGAGAUAGGCAUACACACAUGGGUGUGUGUAAUGUAGCUAUCAUCAUUAAAGCUAUGAUGAGCGUUUUCACGGAAAUUAUUAUUUAAUUAAUGAUCAACUAUAAAAAACUUCUAAAAAAUUAUAGCAGUGCAUUAUUGGCUUUGCACAUUUUAAAGUACCAAGGAAAAAAAUCUUGAUAAAAUUUAAUAAGUUCUAGAUGAGCUUUGUAGAGAGAUUAAGUUUCUUAUUUAUCACUAUAAAAUAGUUGGUUAUUUGAACGACAACAUAUGUUUGAUUAAUUUUGUUACUAAAAAAUUGUUGAUAGAACAAAGGAAAAACCAUGCCACAACAUUUGUAGAACAAUCUAUAAGUAAAGGUAGAAGAUAUUUAGUUCUCUAAAAAAAGAUAUUUAGUUACACCAUAUAUCACAUUCAUACUCAACCAGAUCCCUUUUACACUGCAUAUACGAUUUGUCUGAGGUCAAACUUUAUAAAGUUUGACCAACUUUAUAGAAAAAUAUCAACAUUCACAAUAUAAAGUCAAUAUCGUAUCAUGGAUUUAAUUUCGAUAACUUUAUAUUAUAGAUGUUGAUAUUUUUUUAAUAUAAAUAUGGUCAAAUUUCAAUUUUAUGAAAUUUGACUUCAGAUAAAUCUUAUGUGGAGUAAAAAGAUUGGAGGGAGUACUUCUAUUUUGCAUAUGGUUUUCUAAUUUGGUAAAAAAAAAAGUCUUUUCAAAGGCUGUACCGCUGCAUGCCUUCAUGUCAUUUCUUCUAUCUGAUACGUAUCUCCUACCGUGAACAUGCUAGAAAUUUCUAUGCUAGUAGCCUAGUAGUAGUAAUCCUCACGUGAGCAUGCCAGAGCUCCCUCCAUCUCUUUCUCUCUCCUGUUGCUAGUCGUACUAAUCACUAAUUACGUGAGCAUGCGAGAACUUUCUACACAGAGAUGGAAGAAUCACGUCGUGCGUACAAGCCUGCUCAGAGGCAUGCUGCCACAUUGGCGGGGUCACCGCGAAUCCCUGCAAUAUGAACCGUUGGAUUAGUCUAUCCAAUGGUGUAGCUGCAGCCACAUUGUCUUCUAGCUAAUGACAUUAAAUCUGAGCCAUUGGAUAAGAAAGAUCCAACGGUUCAUAUGAGUUGAUAUUCAUACACUAUAUAGGAGUAUAGACUAGAGAUAUUUAGAUAUUUUUUUGAGCCAAAACCGUAGAACAAUUGUUCUACGGUAUAUUUUCAUUAAUUAAAAAAGUACAUUUACAUAUGCAACAAAAAAGUGAAAAUCAGCCAAUGCCAGCUCUAGGGAACAUCAUGAUUAAAUUAAGUGUUCUGUUCUCUCGAAAUUCUGAUCUUCUCUGCCUUAGAUGUAUUGGCUCUGAGCUCUGUAACUUGAAGUCCUUUUUUCAGGUAGUGUUUCCAAGUGUCCACAGAAGGUGCAACCCUUCUAAAGAUUUUAUCGUUUCUGCUCAUUCAGAUGCCCCAGCAACCCAUGAUAAUGAUAUCCAUGGCAAUGUCUGAUGUGAGGUGGUUCAUGGAAAGAUGAAUUUCAUCAUAAACAGAGAUGCCUCUUAACUUGUUUGGAACUAUGGAGUGCCACAUCUCCUAGCGAACUGGCAAUCCCAGAAAAGAUGGACAACUGUUUCUUCGGUGGCAUCAGAACAUAGGGCACAAUUGUAAUCUUCCAAAUACAUGUUCCUCCUAUGAAUUAAGUUCUUGGUGCUGAGGCUAUCACAAAGUAAUAGCCAGAAGAAGAUCUUAUGUCUGAGUCUGCAAGCUUUUUUCCAAAGAUAUCUGAAUAUGUCAUGAGCUGUGUUCUCCCCCUUGAUAGCUUUGUACAUUUUCAUGGAUGAGUAGUUAGGUGCUGUCCAUGUGUAUGACCAUCUGUCUUGGUUUGUAGAUGAUGCUUGUCCAUUCAGUAUAAUUUGCAAGGAGUUGAAUUGUUCAAAUGCUAGCUGAGAUAGUGGCCUGUGGAAUAGUUGACUGAUGUCAUUGUGCUCCAACACUGUAUUCAAAGAGAUUGCCUGAUUGAUUGCAAAUGAGUGUAAUUCAGGGAAUUUGGUGUGUAGUGGUAACACUUGCCACUUGCCAUACCAGAAGUGCACCGAAUCACAAAUGCUUGCUUUACAUAUGGCAUGUUGCUUGAAUACAGGGAGAAGCUUCAGAACAUCUCUCCACCAGAAAGAUCCCACCUUUUGUUCACUGGCAAUCUGUUCUGAUAGUGUCUCUCCCAAAUGAUAUUCACCCAUGGUGUAUCAGUCUUGUUGAAGAACUUAUGCAGGAACUUUAGGAGAAGGGCCUUGUUGUGCAUGUGAAGGUUUAAGAACCCAAUGCCACCAUGGUUCUUUGGUCUGCUGACUUUGUCCCAUGAAAUAAGCACAAUACCCCUGUCCAUUGAGCCAUACUUUCUCCAAAAACAGUUCAUAAGGUAUGAGUUGAUUUGCUUGAUGACUGUUUUGGGUAUCAUCAGUGUACUCAUGAAGAAAGUAGGCAUACUUGUGAAAAUGGAUUUUAUAAGGGUCAAUUAAUCUCCAGAGGAUAACAUUGUACAGCAGCUCAGCAAUCUAUUCUCAAUUCUGUUCAGCAAGGGAAUGAAAUCUUCCACUCUAGGUUUUGUGAGACACAGUGGCAGGCCCAGAUAGGUGUGUGGCAAUGUACCAAUCUUGCAUCCUAAAAGAUUUGAUAGUGCAUUCAUUUUAUCAGCAGGAGUGUUGAUUGAGAUCAUUAUGGACUUAGCAUAGUUCACCCUGAGUCCAGUGUAUUGAGCAUAGUGCAAGAGGAGAUUUUUGAUGUGCUGGAUAUGUCUGUGAUCAACCUUGGCCACUAAGAGGGUAUCAUCUGCAUAUUGUAUAAUUGGAUAAUCUGGACAAGAAGUGUGGAUGAGUGAGGACUCAAUCAAGGAGGCAUUGCAGGCUUCAUUGAAAAUUGACUGUAGCAGAUCAGCAGCAAUCACAAAAAUCAGAGGGGACAGUGGGUCUCCUUGCCUCACACCAUUGUUGCAAAUGAAUUGUUUACCAGGAACUCCAUUAAGCAGAAUAGAUGAAAACCCAGAGCCAUAUAUCAUUUUAAUCCAGUGGAUCCAUUUCUCACCAAAACCUUUAGCUUGUAGAAUCUCAAUGAUGGUGUUAUGGUUCAACAUGUCAAAUGCUUUCUCAAAGUCCAACUUGAGUAAUAUGAUUUCCUUUCUGCUUUGUAGACAUUGGUGGAUAUAUUCAUAUGACCAUGCCAGGCAAUCUUGGAUACAUCUGUGGUUAAGAAAAUGUAAGUGCAUCUAGUGCCCCUUAGUGAUUUUGGUGUAUUGAAGACUUAUAGUUUAAGGGACUAAUGUUCUUUGUGAGUGUACGCAGGUCUAUAACUCUAUGAGGAGUUUGAUAUUUACAGAGAAAGUCGACCCCUAAAAAUGAAUAUUUUCGACUGAAGAUUUUGGUUUUCUGAAGACUUUGAAAGUGAAGAAAUUGGUGUAACCCUGAAGACUUAGUAUUCAUUCGAGGAACAUGAAGCGUGAAGACUUUUGUUUUCGUAGUUUCAUUUUCUCUUUCUUGAGUCAUAGGAAACACCGUACUGUUAAAGGGGGUCGAGGAAAUACUAAGGAAAAAUUUCCAAGUGAUGCUCAACUCAAAAUCCUACACCUACCAAUCCCUUCGAGUGAAGCCAUUGGAAAUCUCAUACAGUUCAGUCAUAUUCUUCAGUGACAGAGACGAAGUUCUUCUGGUCUGUGAGGAAUUUGUUCUGACUGAGGAGUUAGGAAUUCGCCAGUGCGGAUUGCCUACACAGUGAGGAACAUGAUAUCCCUGAGGAAUUUGAGCCUCAAAUAUCCGACCGUUGCUGUGCUACGCGCCAGCUGUCCCAAAAUAUCUACCCACCUAACGGUCGUAUCAUUGAAGGGCAUUUAUGUCUUAUCAUGCCGGGCUGCUCCCUAGGCUAUAAAUAGCCGCCCCCUACAACCACUAGCUGGUUGGCUGCUCCGAGAGAAACUGACACUUGUCAUUUGAGAGCAUCCCAUCCUCCGAGGACUUUGAGCGAAAAUCAUCAAGUGAGGAAAAACCCAAACCCAAACACCUACAAACCCAAAGUGAUUGAGCAUCACUGAAGAGAUUGAUCUUGCGUAGAUCCGACACUUGUUACCUUUGAAGAUUGUGCUUCUUCCAGACGGUUAGGCGUCAUGGUCUAGAGCAUCCAAGAGGAAAUUGUGGAUCGCCGAGUGACCGAGUUUGUGAAGGUUCGGAAGUCACCUGAAGACUUACUACGAGUGAUUGGGCGAGGUCUGUGUGACCUUAGCUCAAGGAUAAUACGGUGAGGACUGUGUGUCCUCAGGUUUAAAUACCUAGCCGCUCCAACCAGAUGUACAACUGAGACAACAAUUGGAACUGGUCUACCAAAUCAUUGUCUUCACCAAGCUAACUGGUUCUAUUUCCUCAUUACAAUUUUUGUGUGCUUGUUCAUAUCUGUUUGAAGACUUUGACUAAAGACUUUCUCAAUUUCCUCAGUUCAAUUACUUCAGUCUGUUUGUCUUCAUCCUGUGUUAUCCUGUGUUUAUGCUUUCUGUACUCUGUGCUUGUCUUCAUUUCAUCAUGAUGACUAUGCUUGUGUUCUGUUAUGUUUACUUUUGAGUACUUAUUCUGCUGCAAGUAGUUCUUCGCUAAGGAAUUUCCUCAACCGCAAAUUCCUCAGUGAAGAAUUCAUAAAAAUCGCCUAUUCACCCCCCUCUAGUCGAUAUAACGCACUUUCAAUUGGUAUCAGAGCAAGGUACUCCCUUGUUCUGUGUGAUUUUGGUUUAACCGCCUGAAGUUUUAGUUAUGUCGACCGCAGGUAUGAUCAAGGUCUCUGCUGGGUGUCCUACCUUUGAUGGGACGGACUACCCCUACUGAAAGAAUAAGAUGCGGAUGCAUCUUGAGGCAAUUGAUAACGAUCUCUGGUAUGUUGUGGAAAAUGGUGUUCCCUCAGUCACACCUUCUCUGAAUGCUACUGAUGUCAGAGAUUCAAGCAACUCGACUCCCAAGCAAAGAACAUCAUGUGUGGCCAUCUGAGCAAAGGGCAGUAUGGAAGAGUGAGUGCUUUGGAAACUGCCAAGCUUAUCUGGGAUAGGCUGUCCAAAGUCAAUGAAGGAGUCUCAACACAGCGUGGCUCUCGAGUUGACGUUCUUCGCAAUCUCUUCAACCGCUUCAAAAGACUCGACAAUGAAAAUGUUCAACAAACCUUCGAUCGCCUCACUGACAUCUCAAAUGAGCUUCAAGCACUUGGUGCCACUGACAUCACCGACCAUGAGGUGGUGAAGAAAUUGGUGAGAUUGCUUGAUUCCUCAUUUGAUACUUUGGCACUGAUGAUACAAGAACGUGCUGAUUACAAGUCACUUGAUCCCGCUGAUAUCCUCGAGAGGCUAAAUACUCAUGAGUUCCAGCUUGCUGAGAAGAGAGAUCUCUACGGUUCGAGCUAUGGCAGAUCACGUGCCCUGAAGGCCAAGGUCGUCUCUGAAUCUGAAGGUGAAGAUUCUGGUAGUAGCCUUGGUGAUCCUGAAGAACUGAGCCAGGAGCUAGCAUUGUUCGUGAAGAAAUUCCAAAGGUUCUCAAGACGUGGUCGCUUUGGAAAAUCCUCAAGGAGCAAUGAUUCCUCAUCCAGUGACUACAAGAGGCUAUGCCACAAAUACAAGAAACUUGGUCACUACAUUCAAGAUUGUCCUCAGUGGGAAAAGGAAUCAAAGAAGAAGAAAUACAAGGAGUACAGUUCUGAUGACUCGAAGAAGAAGAAAUCUUCAAAGUCUUCAUCAUCAAAAUCUUCAAAGUCUUCAUCUCACAAGAAAAGCAGCUCCAAGAAGGCUCGGGCAUUCAUUGGCAAGGAAAUGGACUCUGAGGCUGAAUCUGAGGAAUAUGAGGAAGAGGAGGCAUCUGAGGAGUCAGAGUCUGUUGUGGCGAGUCUAGCUCUCACUACUGCAUUCGUCAGCAAGUCUAUCUUCAACUCUGAAGAAAAUGGCUCCACCAACAAGGCUGAUGAAGGCAAUGAUGACUACGCUCCCACCUAUUGCUUCAUGGCAAAGGGUGCCAAGGUACUCAAAUAUACCUCCUCUGAAUCAAGUGAGAAUGAAUCUGAUGAAAACCUCAAGCCCAGCUACUCUAAACUUGCUAAGAUUGCUGUGAAACAACAAAAGGCUUUUGAAAAGGUUCAAAACAUGCUAGACAAAAGUGAUGAUAUGUUGGGUGAAGAAAUGGAUCGCACUAAAACCUUGACUGAAAAUCUUCAGAGACUUCAGUCUAGGUUUGACAACCUUGAAGAUCAUCAUAACACUCUCUUAUCUGAUCAUGAGAAGCUUUCUUAUGAAUUUCUUCAGAGAAAGAAGGAUCUUGAAAAGCUAAGAGUGAGUUAUGAAGAUCUUCAGAAGGAGAGCGAUUCAUUACUUGCUCAACAAAUCAGCGCUACUCCGGAAGAAUUUGUUCCUCCAUGUUUGAAGUGCAUUGAACGUGAAUCUGCUAAUUCUUCACCUGAAUGUUCAAAUGCUUUUAAUGCUACACAUUCUUCAACUGUCUCUGCUAUAACUAAUUCCUCAUCUGAGGACAUUGCUAGUAUCACUGAUGAUGCAGGGCUGAAGGAAUUGUACAUGACAGGCAUGUACAAAAGCCUCAAAGGGCAUCAGACUCUUUGUGAUGUGCUUAAAAAGCAGAUCCUUAACAGGAACCCUAAGAAAGAGGGUAUUGCCUUUGAGAGGAAACUCAAUGCUGAUGGUACAUAUUGGAAGCCUGAGCAGUACCCCAAAACCUCAUGGGUUGCUGCAAAGGGACCUCCAGUUGAUCCAUCCAAUUUAUCUGGCUUUACAUGUGAAUCUCCUCAUUCUUAUGAUGAGUCAUUUGACUCCAACUAUAAGCUGUUCAAAAAUCAGAAUGGUGAAGUAUUUGCUAGAUAUGUUGGCACUGACUGCAGGAACGGUUCCCCUAUGAAGAAAAUCUGGGUUCCCAAAAGGUGCCUUGAAAAUCUUCAGGUGAAUGUCAUCAUGACACCACCCGUGAAGAAUAGGAAACCCAGAUCAAAUUCUUCAUAUGGACCAAAUUCUUCAUAUGGAUCCAAGUCCUCAUACGGACCAAAUUCCUCACGUGGAUCAAAUUCCUCAAAAGGAUCAAAGUCCUCAUAUGAUUAUCAUCGUGCUAACACCUCUGUUUCGCAGGGAAGAGCUAAGGGCUAUGAAUAUGAGCAUUCUUCUUCUAACCAUUAUGUUCAUAAAUCCUCGAAGAAUUUCUCUGCUUAUUCAUAUGCUUACCCUACUCCUCUUAUGUGAAACGAAAUGGAUUGGCUUCUAUGCCACCUUUCUCGUAUGGAGCUCGCAGAGUGAUGAACUCUUUGCCACCCCUUCAGAUGUGGGUGGUGAAGAAAAAGAACUAAUCUCUUAUGCAGGGUCAGGUCUCCAUACGUGCUAAAACGUCUGAAGAAUUUGCUGGAGACCUGAAAUUGCCUGAAAGGACGCAGGCUAAUCAUGAAGAAAUGAACUUUCAUUUCUCACGUCCUCAUACUGCUUUAUCUGUUCUAUUGCUUGAUGAAAUUGAUCUAAUGAAUUGAUGUCAUAUUCUUCACUGAUGAAGUAUAUGAGUUUGUAAGCUGCACUAAUUCAUCUGCAGGAUGAUCAACCCAAAGCCAAUGAGUGGGUCCUCGAUAGUGGAUGUACAAAUCACAUGACUGGUGACAAGAAUCUAUUGAUGGAUGCUCCCUUAUCUCCAUCGCAUCUGAAGCAUAUCAUCUUCGCUGACAAAGGCAAAAGUCAGGUAUUGGGUCUAGGUAAGGUUGCGAUCUCAAACGAUCGACACAUGGACAAAGUCAUGCUUGUCGAGUCCUUAGGAUACAACCUCAUGUCUAUCUCAAUGCUUUGUGAUCUUGAUAUGGUUGUUGUCUUUGGCAAGUAUCGUUGUGUUGUGAUCAUGGAAGCUGACCAUUCCAAAGUCUUUGAAGGCUUUAGAGAGGAGACUUGUAUAUUGUUGACUUCUCUACAGGACCACAACCAGCCGUAUGCCUACUUGCAAAAGCUUCAGAAGGCUGGCUAUGGCAUCGAUGACUUGGUCAUGCAGGCAUGAGGAAUUUUCACACGCUCGCGAAGAAGAAGCAUGUCAUUGGCAUUGAGAAUGUCAAAUUCAUCAAGGAUCACUUAUGCGGAGCCUGUGAAGCUGGAAAGAUGACCAAGGCCAAACAUCCAGCGAAGACAAUUAUGACUACCACUCGUCCAUUUGAAUUGCUUCACAUGGAUCUCUUUGGUCCUAACCAUUAUUCUGCCGUCACAAAUGAUGCAUCUCUCUAUGGCUUUGUUAUUGUUGAUGAUUACUCUCAUUACACAUGGGUGCAUAUUGUCACUUACAAACAUGAAGUGCAGGAAGUCUUCAAACGAUUUUCCUCGAGGGCUUCAACCAACUUUGGUGUGAAGAUCAAGCACACCAGGAGUGACAAUGGAACUGAGUUCAAGAAUUCUGGUCUUGAUGACUAUCUUGAUGAACUUGGUAUUACUCAUGAGUUAUCUGCUCCUUAUACUCCUCAGCAGAAUGGCGUCGUGGAGCGCAAGAACAAGACUCUUGUUGAGAUGGCUCGCACAAUGCUUGAUGAGUACAAGACGCCUCGUCACUUCUGGAUUGAGGCAAUUUAUACUGCGUGCCACAUCAUCAACAGAGUAUAUCUUCACAAAUUCUUCAAGAAGACUGCCUAUGAACUCCUCACUGACAAGAAACCCAAUGUGAGUUAUUUCAAAGUCUUCGGUGCUAAAUGUUGGAUCAGAGAUCCUCAUCACAACUCUAAAUUUGCACCGAAAGCACAUGAAGGUUUUAUGCUUGGUUACGGAAAGGACUCGCACACCUACAGAGUCUUCAACAACGUUCACCACAAAGUUGUUGAAACUGUAGAUGUGCGGUUCGAUGAAACUAAUGGCUCGCAAAGAGAGCACCUACCUUCUGUGAUAGAUGAACCAGCACAUGAGGAAACUAUCAAGUUCAAAGCUACUGAGGAUGUCAUUCCGACCAAAGAAUCUGGUGAAGAAUUCAUUCCAGAACGUGAAGAACGCCGAGCUAAUGCACCUGAAGAAAAUGGUGCUGAAGAAAAUUGUGCUAAAGAAAAUGCUGAUCAAAUUCCUCGACGACAACCAACUCAUCCUCGCGUUGCAAACGAAGUGCAAAUUGAGAGAAUCAUUGAUGACAAUGAAGCACCAGGUCCUCUCACACGCUCAAAAGCUUCACAUUAAUCUAACUUUUGUGGGCACUUUGCUUUCGUGUCCAUCACAAAGCCCACUAAGGUAGAUGAAGCAUUUCUGGAGCCUGAAUGGAUUCAAGCUAUGCAAGAAGAAUUACAUCAGUUCGAGAUCAACAACGUCUGGGAACUGGUCAAACGUCCAGAUCCUCGCAAGCACAAUAUCAUUGGCACAAAGUGGAUCUACCACAACAAGCAAGAUGAAAAUGGCCUUGUGGUGAGGAAUAAGGCACGGCUUGUAGCUCAAGACUACACACAGGUUGAAGGAAUCGAUUUUGAUGAAACUUUUGCACCUGUUGCGAGACUUGAGGCUAUUCGCAUAUUACUUGCUUAUGCUAACCAUCAUGAUAUCACUUUAUAUCAAAUGGAUGUGAAAAGUGCAUUCCUCAAUGGUAAGCUUGAGGAAGAAGUAUAUGUAGCUCAACCCCCAGGUUUUGAAGAUCCAAAGCAUCCUGACUAAGUCUUCAGACUCAAUAAGGCCCUCUAUGGCCUCAAGCAGGCCCCUCGGGCGUGGUAUGAUACUUUGAAGGAAUUCCUUAUGAAGAAAGGCUUCAAACCCGGUUCACUCGACCCUACUCUUUUCACUAAAUCUUAUGAUGGUGAAUUGUUUGUGUGCCAAAUUUAUGUUGAUGAUAUUAUCUUUGGCUGUACUGACCAACGUUACAGUGAUGAAUUUGCCUAUAUGAUGAGUGAAGAAUAUCAAAUGUCUAUGAUGGGAGAAUUGAAAUUCUUCUUAGGUCUUCAAAUUUGUCAACAUCGCAAUGGCAUAUUCAUAUCUCAGGAGAAAUACCUCAAGGAUGUACUGAGGAAAUUCGGCAUGCAAGAUUGCAAAGGGGUCAAAAUUCCAAUGCCCACAAAUGGCCAUCUAUGCACUGAUGAAAAUGGUAUUGACUUCGAUCAAAAGGUAUACCGCUCCAUGAUUGGUUCUUUAUUGUACUUAUGUGCAUCUAGGCCAGAUAUUAUGCUUAGUGUUUGCAUGUGUGUCCGAUUUCAAGCUACACCGAAAGAAUCACACCAUAAGGCUGUGAAGCAUAUUCUUCGAUAUCUAGCUCACACACCAACACUUGGAUUAUGGUACCCCAAGGGCUCGGCUUUUGAUCUCAUUGGAUAUUCAGACUCUGACUAUGCUGGUGAUCGUGUGGACCGCAAGUCAACAUCUGGCACAUGUCAUUUCCUCGGACGAUCUUUGGUCUGUUGGUCCUCGAAGAAACAGAACUGCGUAUCACUGUCUACUGCUGAAGCUGAGUACAUUGCUGCUGGUUCUUGCUGUGCUCAAUUGCUGUGGAUGAAGCAAACUCUCAAGGACUAUGGUGUCAACGUGAAGAAUGUGCAUCUCUAGUGUGACUAUGAGAGUGAAUCAAGAUUGCUCACAACCCAGUUCAACACUCGAAGACAAAGCACAUUCAGAUUCGUCAUCAUUUUCUUCGUGAACAUGUGUUGAAGGGCGACAUUUCUAUCGAGCAUGUGAAGACUGAAGAACAGCUAGCCAAUAUCUUCACAAAGCCCUUGGAUGAGAAGAGAUUUAGCAAGUUGCGGUGUGAGCUAAAUAUUUUAGAAUCUUUGAAUGUUCUUUGAAAAGGACACUCAUCCUAACACUUAUGCAAAAUUGAUGACUUAGAUGUGCAACACAUGAAGAAACGUUUUUCUUCAAUCAAUGAAGAAUAACACUCUAAGUGUGAAGAAAUUAACGAAAAAUUUGAUUCUCAGAACCCUACGACAAUUGUACGCGGUGUCUGAAAUCAUCAUUCUUAUACGGUGGGUCACGCCACCACCAAAAGUUGAAAAUCUUCAAUUUGAGUUUUUUUCUCAGUUUUUGAAAUUCCUCAGUUGUUCAAUUUCUUCAACUUUGCAUUGUCUUCACUGUUUCCGUUGUUUUUCUUCAUAGGCUAUACAUAUAUAUAUGUAUAUAUAUAUAUAUAUAUAUAUAUAUAUAUAUAUUUGAGUUUAUGUCCUCUACAGCAUUCACUUAUUGCUAAUUCUUCAUGUUGCUUCUUUUGCUAAGUGACUGUGAUCGGACCCUUCCCCCCUAUGCUAAACCCAACCCAAUCUAUUCACAAAUUCUUCAUGUGCGUUCUAUUUGAAACUCGUUCAAAAUCUUCACUGUGUCCUUGUCAGCUGAAGAAUCUGCGAACGGAACUUUUAACUUAUCUUAUCUAAAUUUUCGGCUAUGCCGCUCAAACUGUUCCGCAUCCCACGAAAAUACUUAUCUAUUCACCCAUGAUCUCACACAAUCACCACCUCUCAGUACGUGGGUGACACAUGUCAAGCGAAUGAGAAGGGUCAGGGGCACGUUCGUCCAAUUUCUUUGGGCGAACAGUUUUUUCACCAUGGCUAUAUAUACUCCUCCCCUUCCUCACUUCACUUUUACUCCGCUCAAUCUCUCUCCUGCUCGAGCUUCUAGCACCGCCGCUACUUCAUCGUCGCCGGUGAGGAAGAGCUUCACUGCCUCGACCUCGUCGCCGUCGUACUCGCGCCGGCUGCAGAUUUCUACACUCCGCCGCCGCCGUAUCCGUCUUCCUCAGCCAAGUUAGGGCAUGGAAGAUCUGAACUGACGAACUUCACAUCUACACUUCCCAGUUCGUCGUGUUCUUCGUCCAGGGUAACUAAAAGUUACUUUUACUGCCCUCUUUGAUUCGAAUGAUUUCUACAAAAUCUUCAAAGGUGUUUUUCUUCAAAUCCUCACACACUAAAACACCUCACAUGUCAUCUGUUCUUGAUCCAUUUCUCUAAGCAAUAUUUUUUCUUCAAGAAUCCUAAAUUGUGUGGAUUUUUGAUCUAUACAACUCUGGAACCUAAGACAAAGAACGCUUAGUGAAAUUCUUCAAGACUCAUCUGGUCAAAUUCCUCAAACUUGUUCUUUUGAAAAACCUCUGGGAACGCAUAUGACCUCUCCAAAUUCCUCGCAACUAUACUCUAUUCACAGGUACACAUGUCCGCUGCUGAAUCACUAGGUUCUCAUCAACUUAACUCAUUUGCAGCGUUCCUCAAAGAAAAGUUGCACACCUCUUCAGAAAAUUCUAUUGUUCAAAUUCCUCAGCUGAAGAAAAUGGCUGAUGGUAAGAAGCCACAGAAAGGAGGAAAGAGGCCUGAAAUCAAUACUGCUUUUGAGAUCCCUGAUGACAUAUACAAGGAUUACUGCACUCCUGAUGAGGCCAAGUUUGGCAAGGAGGACAAAAAUCAGCGCAAGGUGCGCAUCCAAAGGAUAGAGAGGAGAUGGGCAAGGGAGUGGAGGGAGUACAGGUAUGUCACUCCCAAGUAUAUGAAGAAAUUCGCUCUAAAUCCUCCAUGCCCAAGACCUCCAUUGGCACCUGGCCAAGAAGCAGAUCCCACUAGCCUCAAGCGCGGUGAGGACUAUCCCGACGAAUGGGCCAAGCGCCAGGCCAAAUUGGCCAGACAAGCAAGAGAAGCAGUGAGGAAAUUUAACAAAGACUCUGCUGCUGCUGCUGCCACUGCUGAGGCCUCUGCUAUCAAGCCAAAGAAGGCCAUGUCAAAGAAGCCUGCUCAUAAGCCAAGUGCUUCAUCUUCAAUGCCCUCACGGCCAAGUUCCUUAGCAAUGCCCUCACGGCCAGAAACUUCAAAGCCCUCACGGCCAACUCCUCAUGCUGCUCCCGCUCCUCCAAAGUCCUCAGCUCCUCCGCCAAAGUCCUCAGCCGCUCCGACCAAAUCCUCAGCACGUGUGCAUCUCACCACGUGCCAAAGGACUACAGGCAUCUCUAUUGCCUCAGGAGCUUCUGCUAGUUCCUCAGCUGCACCAAAUUCUUCAACUGGACCCUCUCUACUGAAGACAAAGGCCACUGCUGGACGAGGCUCUCGCCCAAGUCCUCAUAAGAAGCAGGCCGCCUUCCAAGUGCCGUCUGAUGAAGACAAAGCUGAUGAUGAGGAACUUGCUGAAAUCAUCAGAGACAGGCAGCUCAGGGCCGCUAGAGCCAAAGGCACAAAUGUGCCUCUGCUUUUGGAUCCUAAGUUGAUCCUUGAUUACAUUGAUCUCUGGCACAAGGACCCAAACACUCCUAUGCCUGAUUUCAAGCUGACUCCUGGCCAAAGUCAUAUGCUGACUACCUUCAUCCAAGAAGAAAAAUGGAAGUUUGAAAAGGCCAGGCAGAUCAAGAAAGCGCAGUAUAAGAAGGAGCGCUUCCUGAAGAAACACGUUGUCUCAAUGACAACUGAAGAACUUGUCAAUAUUCAAUCUGAGAUCAAGAAACUCAGUGAUGAAUUUGAUGUAUACAGAGCUGACUGGCUUGGAGCCAAAGUCAGGUUUGUGAAAUUGACUGAAAAGUUCACUCCCAAUGUUGCAGCCCCAACGCAACCAGAAAAUCCUCAAGCUGAAGCAUCUGCUCAGCCGACUGAAGAAAAUGCCAGCACCACUGAUGACAUUCAGGCUGCUAAAGAAACUCAAAGUACCAAGGCUGAUGACUGCAUUCUAGCCGCUGAUGAAAUUGCCAGGGCAUCCACUAGUGGUGCGCCUGAAGAAAAUGAAGAAGUCAGGGCAACUGCAUCAGUUGUGCUUGAAGAAAUUCAACCAAAUUCCUCUGCUCCUCCUGCGCCUACACCAACUCCGAUCCUUCCAUCUGCAACAGAUGUGAAGAAAACCAAGGCUGCAGAGCGUGCAGCAGUGAAGAAAAGGAAGGCAUCAACUUCAUUAGAUUCUUCAACUCCGAAGAAGAUGAAGCCAUUGACUAGCUCAUUCGACAACCCAAUUGAUGUUGUUCCUAUCAUAACCAUGCCGUCAAAGGACCUUGUUCCUUUUGAUGAAGAAUAUGUGAUUCCAAGUGAAUCAGAUGAAGAGAUUCCUUCUGCUGCUUCAUCAGAGCAGUUGGAUGAAGAAAUUGAAGCGGAUGCAAUCCCUUCAACACCAAUUGUCUCCUCGCCCAUGCCUCAGUUCACUGCUGAAGAGGUUGGCGUUGAAGAAUUGGAAGAAGAAGAAGAUAUGGACAUUGGGUGUACAACACCAGUGCUGAAUGAUGACUUUUGGGAAAGUCAGCACCCCAACUCUCCUUUGUUCACACCACUGCAACAAAUUCCUCAGUCCCCUGUCAACACUGAAGUUCAAAUGGGAUCUGAAGAACCUCAUGCCACUCCAUCUAUCCAUGAAGAGAUUCCAGCCACUAGUGCCGAAGAAAAUGUAAAUGAAGAACUGAAGACCCAGGCUGCCACUGAAGAAGAAGCUGAAAUUCCUCAGCCUGUGGAACCUGAGAUUGCGAUUCCUGAAGUGGUGAUGCAAUUGACUGACACUCCUCAGCCCAAGCCAAAGGAUCCAUUCUCGAAGAAGCAGAAAUUCAAGGCUGAUGACUUCCUCGGCGAACACAUGUUCUUCACUGACUAUAAUCCCUAUGACUCUCCUCGUCUUAGAAGGAAGCGCUUCCGGACUGCUAGCCAGGCCAAUUUCUAUUCUUCACUACUAUUCAACAAGGAUAAAUUCUUCGACCACGAGCAUAUUCCUCACGUGGACAUGGAAUCACUGCCUUGCUUCACCCCUGUCCUCAGUGUGCUUCAUGACGCAGGCCUUCUCAACUUUUGCACAGACAUUGUUGAUUGGAAUGAAGAACUUAUUCUCCAGUUCUAUGCAACCCUGCACAUCACAGGCAAUGCUGAUGACAUCAACACCUGGGUUUUGGACUGGAUGACCGAAAACACUCAUUUCAAAGCACCAGCCUCUGAAUUACUUCAUGCCCUGCCAAUCAGUCCUCCCCUUGAAGGAGCUCAUUGCCUCUACCAAGAGCCUGAGCUCACUUCUCACUAUAUGCAAGUUCUUAUGAAGCCUCUGAAGCCUGGUCAAGCCCCAAGGACCAAAUUCCUCGUGAAGGAAUUGCUCUAUGUGCCAAGAACAGUCUAUCGCAUUCUGACGAAGACUAUGAGUCCAAUCAAAGGCCACGACUCGUCUGAUGAGGAAAUUGUUGGCAUCAUGAAGAAUCUGCUAUUCAACGUCAUACAUGGCAUUCCUGUCAACUAUCACGAUUUCUUCAUGAGGACUCAGGCAAAUGUUGCACUCUCUCUAUUUGAGCUGAAGCCUUAUGCUCCUUGGAUUAUGAGAUUCCUCAGAACAAGGUCUUCACUCAACUACAAAGCUGAUUUUCAGAAUCACCUCAGCUACUUGCCCCCAAUCGAAGUCCUCAAGCGGACAUAUUCCUCAGCUGAUGAAAAGGGCAAGGCACCUGCUGUCAUUGAUGAAGGCAUUCAUCCAUUGGAUGGUCAGUUUCGCAAAGCUGCAUCUUAUUCCACCAAUGAUGACUCUGCCACUCAUGAUUCUGCUGCUAAUGCAUCCAAGCCAAAUCCUCAAGCCACUGCUCCUCGAGUGAUGACUGACCGUGAGCUUCUGCUUAGUCUUCACCAGAAGGUGGAUCGAAACCAUAAAUGGGUUAAGCGUCAGUUUGGUUCUAUUCUUCACAACAUGACUGCUACACAUAAUGCAGUGAAGAAAAACCAUUACUACCUCCAUGAAGUCUUCGGUCGCACCUGGGCUAUUCUGUCAAAUCUGUAUGGUGAAGAAGAUCUGAAGCAAAUGGGUCUCAAGGAGGACUUUGACUGGUCUGCACCUCCACCGAAGAAAUACAAGAAGGUCAAGGUUCCUUCCUUGGUGGCCAGCUCAUAUUCUUCAUCACGCGAAACCGACGAGCAUGAAGACUUGGACGACACUGCGGCAGGCCCUACAACAACAAACGACCCCAACAACGCUGGCGCUCCUCCAUCAACAUGAUAUUCUUCAGGGGCGUUAGUCCUCAUUUUCGAUCCUUUUGGUCAUUCGAUGACAAAGGGGGAGAAAUUUGAGUUAGUCUUCAAGCGGGUCUACCUAUACGGGCGUUUUUUUGCUAAGUUACAACUCUCAUUCUUCUGAUGACUUUGCUGGAUCGAGUUGUAAACUUAAACUCUAUGGUGGCCUGAUACUUUUGCUGAGAUUUUCUCUGCAUGCUUAUUCCUCAUUAAUGUUAAUGCACGCAUGCUGAAUUACAUCAGUCACCAUAUUUCAUCAUGCAUUUCAAAUUCUUCAUAUCCUAUGUUAAAUGCGUGUAUGAAUUACAAGAUAUAGGGGGAGACUUCCAUGAUUCUACUCUUCAAGUGUGCAUUGCUUCAAAAGCAAAAUCCUCACUAUGCACAUCUUCAGGGGGAGUUCUUCUAUAUCUUGCAAUCAAAUUCCUCAAUAUCCGUAUUUACACUUCUUAUGUUUAUCCCUGUUGAAAACUUAACCUAUAUUGUCAUCAAUCACCAAAAGGGGGAGAUUGUAAGUGCAUCCAGUGCCCCUUAGUGAUUUUGGUGUAUUGAAGACUUAUAGGUUAAGGGACUAAUGUGUUUAUGAGUGUACACAGGUCUAUAAGUCUAUGAGGAGUUUGAUAUUUACAGAGAAAGUCGACCCCUAAAAAUGAAUAUCUUCGACUGAAGAUUUUGGUUUUCUGAGGACUUUCUGAAGACUUUGAAAGUGAAGAAAUUGGUGUAACCCUGAAGACUUAGUAUUCAUUCGAGGAACAUGAAGCGUGAAGACUUUUGUUUUCGUAGUUUCAUUUUCUCUUUCUUGAGUCAUAGGAAACACCGUACUGUUAAAGGGGGUCGAGGAAAUACUAAGGAAAAAUUUCCAAGUGAUGCUCAACUCAAAAUCCUACACCUACCAAUCCCUUCGAGUGAAGCCAUUGGAAAUCUCAUACAGUUCAGUCAUAUUCUUCAGUGACAGAGACGAAGUUCUUCUGGUCUGUGAGGAAUUUGUUCUGACUGAGGAGUUAGGAAUUCGCCAGUGCGGAUUGCCUACACAGUGAGGAACAUGAUAUCCCUGAGGAAUUUGAGCCUCAAAUAUCCGACCGUUGCUGUGCUACGCGCCAGCUGUCCCAAAAUAUCUACCUACCUAACGGUCAUAUCAUUGAAGGGCAUUCAUGUCUUAUCAUGUCGGGCUGCUCCCUAGGCUAUAAAUAGCCGCCCCCUACAACCACUAGCUGGUUGGCUGCUCCGAGAGAAACUGACACUUGUCAUUUGAGAGCAUCCCAUCCUCCAAGUACUUUGAGCGAAAAUCAUCAAGUGAGGAAAAACCCAAACCCAAACACCUACAAACCCAAAGUGAUUGAGCAUCACUGAAGAGAUUGAUCUUGCAUAGAUUCGACGCUUGUUACCUUUGAAGACCGUGCUUCUUCCAGACGGUUAGGCGUCAUGGUCUAGAGCAUCCAAGAGGAAAUUGUGGAUCGUCGAGUGACCGAGUUUGUGAAGGUUCGGAAGUCACCUGAAGACUUACCACGAGUGAUUGGGCGAGGUCUGUGUGACCUUAGAUCAAGGAGAAUACGGUGAGGACUAUGUGUCCUCAGGUUUAAAUACCUAGCCGCUCCAACCAGAUGUACAACUGAGACAGCAGUUGGAACUGGUCUACCAAAUCAUUGUCUUCACCAAGCUAACUGGUUCUAUUUCCUCAACUCUUUCAUUUCCUCAUCAUAGUUGUUGUGUGCUUGUUCAUAUCUGUUUGAAGACUUUGACUGAAGACUUUCUCAAUUUCCUCAAUUCAAUUUCUUCAGUCUGUUUGUCUUCAUCCUGUGUUAUCCUGUGUUUAUGUUUCUGUACUCUGUGCUUGUCUUCAUUUCAUCAUUAUGACUAUGCUUGUGUUCUGUUCUGUUUACUUUUGAGUACUUAUUCCGCUGCAAGUAGUUCUUCGCUAAGUAAUUUCCUCACCCGCAAAUUCCUCAGUGAAGAAUUCAUAAAAAUCGCCUAUUCACCCCCCUCUAGUCGAUAUAACGCACUUUCAGAAAACCAUAUUGAUUUUUGUGAACCAUGCUUAGAAUAAGCUUCUGGAGUCUGUGAAGGAAAUAUGCCCUAGAGACAAUAAUAAAGUUAUUAUUUAUUUCCUUAUAUCAUGAUAAAUGUUUAUUAUUCAUGCUAGAAUUGUAUUAACCGGAAACUUGAUACAUGUGUGAAUACAUAGACAAACAGAGUGUCACUAGUAUGCCUCUACUUGACUAGCUCGUUAAUCAAAGAUGGUUAUGUUUCCUAGCUAUAGACAUAAGUUGUCAUUUGAUUAACGAGAUCACCUCAUUAGGAGAAUGACGUGAUUGACUUGACCCAUUCCGUUAGCUUAGCACUCGAUUGUUUAGUAUGUUGCUAUUGCUUUCUUCAUGACUUAUACAUGUUCCUAUGACUAUGAGAUUAUGCAACUCCCGUUUAUCGGAGGAACACUUUGUGUGCUACCAAACGUCACAACGUAAAUGGGUGAUUAUAAAGGUGUUCUACAGGUGUCUCCAAUGGUACUUGUUGGGUUGGCGUAUUUCGAGAUUAGGAUUUGUCACUCCGAUUGUCGGAGAGGUAUCUCUGGGCCCACUCGGUAAUGCACAUCACUAUAAGCCUUGCAAGCAUUGCAACUAAUGAGCUAGUUGCGGGUGAUGUAUUACGGAACGAGUAAAGAGACUUGCCGGUAACGAGAUUGAACUAGGUAUUGAGAUACCGACGAUUGAAUCUCAGGCAAGUAACAUACUGAUGACAAAGGAAACAACGUAUGUUGUUAUGCGGUCUGACCGAUAAAGAUCUUCGUAGAAUAUGUGGGAGCCAAUAUGGGCAUCCAGGUCCCGCUAUUGGUUAUUGACCGGAGACGUGUCUCGGUCAUGUCUACAUAGUUCUCGAACCCGUAGGGUCCGCACGCUUAAAGUUACGAUGACAGUUUUAUUAUGAGUUUAUGUAUGUUGAUAUACCGAAGGAGUUCGGAGUCCCGGAUGAGAUCGGGGACAUGACGAGGAGUCUCGAAAUGGCCGAGACGUAAAGAUCGAUAUAUUGGACGACUAUAUUCGGACUUCGGAAAGGUUCCGAGUGAUUCGGGUAUUUUUCGGAGUACCGGAGAGUUACGGGAAUACGUAUUGGGCCUUAUUGGGCCAUACGGGAAAGAAGAAAAAGGGCCUCAAGGGUGGCCGCACCCCUCCCCUUGGUCUGGUCCGAAUUGGACUAGGGAAGGGGGGCGCCCCCUUCCUUCCUUCUCUUUUUCCCUUCCUCUUUUCCUAUUCCAUAUGGGAGGUGGAAUCCUACUAGGACUAGGGAGUCCUAGUAGGACUCCACACUUGGUGCGCCCCCUCCUAGGGCCAGCCUCCUCCUCCCUUGCUCCUUUAUAUACGGGGGCAGGGGGCACCCCAGAGACACAACAAUUGAUCCUUGAGAUCUCUUAGCCGUGUGUGGUGCCCCCCUCCACCAUAUUACACCUCGAUAAUACCGUUGCGGAGCUUAGGCGAAGCCCUGCGUCGGUGGAACAUCAUCAUCGUCACCACGCCGUCGUGCUGACGAAACUCUCCCUCAACACUCGGCUGGAUCGGAGUUCGAGGGACGUCAUCGAGCUGAACGUGUGUAGAACUCGGAGGUGCCGUACGUUCGGUACUUGAUCGGUCGGAUCGUGAAGACGUACGACUACAUCAACCGCGUUGUGAUAACGCUUCCGCUGUCGGUCUACGAGGGUACGUGGACAACACUCUCCCCUCUCUUUGCUAUGCAUCACCAUGAUCUUGCGUGUGCGUAGGAAUUUUUUUUUGAAAUUACUACGUUCCCCAACAGUGGUAUCAGAGCCUGGUUUUAUGCGUUGAUGCUAUGCACGAGUAGAACACAAGUGAGUUGUGGGCGAUAUAAGUCAUACUGCUUACCAGCAUGUCAUACUUUGGUUCAGCGGUAUUGUGAGAUGAAGCGGCCCGGACCGAUAUUACGCGUACGCUUACGCGAGACCGGUUUCACCGUUCGGAGCACUCGUUGCUUAAAGGUGACCGGCGGGUGUCUGUCUCUCUCACUUUAGUUGAACCGAGUGUGACUACGCCCGGUCCUUGCGAAGGUUAAAACAGCACCAACUUGACAAACUAUCGUUGUGGUUUUGAUGCGUAGGUAAGAACGGUUCUUGCUAAGCCCGUAGCAGCCACGUAAAACUUGCAACAACAAAGUAGAGGACGUCUAACUUGUUUUUGCAGGGCAUGUUGUGAUGUGAUAUGGUCAAGACAUGAUGUGAUAUAAUGUGUUGUAUGAGAUGAUCAUGUUUUGUAACCGAGUUAUCGGCAACUGGCAGGAGCCAUAUGGUUGUCGCUUUAUUGUAUGAGAUGCAAUCGCCAUGUAAUAGUUUUACUUUAUCACUAAGUGGUAGCGAUAGUCGUAAAAGCAAUAAGUUGGCAAGACGACAACGAUGCUAUGAUGGAGAUCAAGGUGUCGCGCCGGUGAUGAUGGUGAUCAUGACGGUGCUUCGGAGAUGGAGAUCACAAGCACGGUGCUUCGGAGAUGGAGAUCACAAGCACAAGAUGAUGAUGGCCAUAUCAUAUCACUUAUAUUGAUUGCAUGUGAUGUUAAUCCUUUAUGCAUCUUAUCUUGCUUUGUUUGACGGUAGCAUUAUAAGAUGAUCCUUCACUAAAUUAUCAAAGUAUAAGUGUUCUACCUGAGUAUGCACCGUUGCAAAAGUUCUUCGUGCUGAGACACCACGUGUUAAUUGGGUGUGAUAGGCUCUACGUUCAAAUACAACGGAUGCAAAACAGUUGCACACGCGGAAUACUCAGGUUAAACUUGACGAGCCUAGCAUAUACGGAUAUGGCCUAGGAACAUAGAGACCGAAAGGUCGAGCGUGAAUCAUAUAGUAGAUAUGAUCAACAUAGUGAUGUUCACCAUUUAAACUACUCCAUCUCACGUGUUAAUCGGACAUGGUUUAGUUGAUUUGGAUCACGUAAUCACUUAGAUGAUUAGAGGGAUUUCUAUCUAAGUGGGAGUUCUUAAGUAAUAUGAUUAAUUGAACUUAAAUUUAUCAUGAACUUAGUCCUGAUAGUAUUUUGCAAAUUAUGUUGUAGAUCAAUAGCUCGCGUUGUUGCUUCCCUAUGUUUAUUUUGAUAUGUUCCUAGAGAAAAUUAUGUUGAAAGAUGUUAGUAGCAAAGAUGAGGAUUGGAUCCAUGAUCUGAGGAUUAUCCUCAUUGCUGCACAGAAGAAUUAUGUCCUUAAUGCACCGCUAGGUGACAGACCUAUUGCAGGAGCAGAUGCAGACGUUAUGAACGUUUGGCUAGCUCAAUAUGAUGACUACUUGAUAGUUUAGUGCACCAUGCUUAACGGCUUAGAAUCGGGACUUCAAAGACGUUUUGAACGUCAUGGACCAUAUGAGAUGUUCCAGGAGUUGAAGUUAAUAUUUCAAGAAAAUACCCGAGUUGAGAGAUAUGAAGUCUCCAACAAGUUCUAUAGCUAAAAUAUGGAGGAGAAUCGCUCAACUAGUGAGCAUGUGCUCAGAUUGUCUGGGUACUACAAUCGCUUGAAAUCAAGUGGGAGUUUAUCUUCCAGAUAAAAUAGUGAUUGACAGAAUUCUCUAGUCACCAUCACCAAGUUAGUAGAACUUCGUGAUGAACUAUAGUAUGCAAGGGAUGACGAAAGUAAUUCCCGAGCUCUUCGUGAUGCUGAAAUUAACGAAGGUAGAAAUCAAGAAAAACAUCAAGUGUUGAUGGUUGACGAGACCACUUCAAGUGUUGAUGGUUGACGAGACCACUAGUUUCAAGAAAAGGGCAAAGGGAAGAAGGGGAACUUCAAAAAGAACGGCAAGCAAGUUGCUACUCAAGUGAAGAAGCCCAAGUCUGUACCUAAGCCUGAGACUAAGUGCUUCUACUGCAAAGGGACUGGUCAACUGGAAGCGGAACUACCCCAACUAUUUGGUGGAUAAGUAGGAUGGCAAAGUGAACAAAGGUAUAUUGGAUAUACAUGUUAUUGAUGUGUACUUUACUAGUGUUUAUAGCAACCCCUCGGUAUUUGAUACUGGUUCAGUUGCUAAGAGUAGUAACUCGAAACGGGAGUUGCAGAAUAAACAGAGACUAGUAAAAAGGCGAGGUGACGAUGUGUGUUGGAAGUAGUUCCAAGAUUGAUAUGAUCAUCAUCGCACACUCCCUGUACUUUCGGGAUUAGUGUUGAAACUAAAUAAGUGUUAUUUGGUGUUUGUGUUGAGCAUGAAUAUGAUUUGAUCAUGUUUAUUGCAAUAAGUUUAUUCAUUUAAGUUAAGAGAACAAUUGUUGUUCUGUUUACAUGAAUAAAAAACCUUCUAUGGUCAUACACACCAACAAAAUUGGUUUGUUGGAUCUCGAUCGUAGUGAUGCACAUAUUCAUAAUAUUGAAGCCAAAAGAUGCAAAGUUAAUAAUGAUAGUGCAACUUAUUUGUGGCACUGCCGUUUAGGUCAUAUUGGUGUAAAGCGCGUGAAGAAACUCCAUACUGAUGGGAUUUUGGAAUCAAUUGAUUAUGAAUCACUUGAUGCUUGCGAACCAUGCCUCAUGGGCAAGAUGACCAAAACGCCGUUCUCCGGAACUAUGGAGAGAGCAACAGAUUUGUUGGAAGUCAUACAUACAGAUGUAUGUGGUCCAAUGAAUAUUGAGGCUCGUGGCGGAUAUCGUUAUUUUCUCACCUUCACAUAUGAUUCGAGCAGAUAUGGGUAUAUCUACUUGAUGAAACAUAAGUCUGAAACAUUUGAAAAGUUCAUAUAAUUUCAGAGUGAAGUAGAAAAUCAUCGUAACAAGAAAAUAAAGUUUCUACGAUCUGAUCGUGGAGACAAAUAUUUGAGUUAUGAGUUUGGUCUUCAAUUAAAACAAUGUGGAAUAGUUUCACAAAUUUAUGCCACCUGGAACACCACAGCAUAAUGGUGUGUCCGAACGUCAUAACCGUACUUUAUUGGAUAUAGUGCAAUCUAUGAUGUCUCUUACCAAUUUACCACUAUCGUUUUGGGGUUAUGCAUUAGAGACAGCUACAUUCACGUUAAAUAGGGCACCAUCAAAAUCCGUUGAGACGACGCCUUAUGAACUGUGGUUUGGCAAGAAACCAAAGUUGUCGUUUCUUAAAGUUUGGGGUUACGAUGCUCAUAUGAAAAAGUUUCAUCCUGAUAAGCUCAAACCCAAAUCGGAGAAAUGUGUCUUCAUAGGAUACCCAAAGGAGACAAUCGGGUACAACUUCUAUCACAGAUCCAAAGGCAAGACAUUCGUUGCUAAGAAUGGAUCCUUUCUAGAGAAGGAGUUUUCUCUUGAAAGAAGUGAGUGGGAGGAAAGUAGAACUUGAUGAGGUAACUGUACCUGCUCCCUUAUUGGAAAGUAGUUCAUCACAGAAAUCUGUUCCUGUGACUCCUACACCAAUUAGUGAGGAAGUUAAUGAUGAUGAUCAUGUAACUUCAGAUCAAGUUACUACCAAACCUCGUAGGUAAACCAGAGUAAGAUCCGCACCAGAGUGGUACGGUAAUCCUGUUCUGGAGGUUAUGUUACUAGACCAUGACGAACCUACGAACUAUGAAGAAACGAUGGUGAGCCCAGAUUCCGCAAAAUGGCUUGAGGCCAUGAAAUCUGAGAUGAGAUCCAUGUAUGAGAACAAAGUGUGGACUUUGGUUGACUUGCCCGAUGAUCGGCAAGCCAUUGAAAAUAAAUGGAUCUUCAAGAAGAAGACUGACGCUGACGGUAAUGUUACUGUCUAUAAAGCUCGACUUGUUGCGAAAGGUUUUCGACAAGUUCAAGGGAUUGACUACGAUGAGACCUUCUCACCCGUAGCGAUGCUUAAGUCUGUCCGAAUCAUGUUAGCAAUUGCCGCAUUUUAUGAAAUCUGGCAAAUGGAUAAACAAAACUGCAUUCCUUAAUGGAUUUAUUAAAGAAGAGUUGUAUAUGAUGCAACCAGAAGGUUUUGUCAAUCCUAAAGGUGCUAACAAAAUAUGCAAGCUCCAGCGAUCCAUCUAUGGACUGGUGCAAGCAUCUCGGAGUUGGAAUAUAUGCUUUGAUAAGUUGAUCAAAGGAUAUUGUUUUAUACAGACUUGCGGUGAAGCCUGUAUUUACAAGAAAGUGAGUGGGAGCACUACAACAUUUCUGAUAAGUAUAUGUGAAUAACAUAUUGUUGAUCGGAAAUAAUGUAGAAUUAUUCUAUAAAGCAUAAAGUAGUGUUUUGAAAUGAGUUUUUCAAAAAAAGACCUCGGUGAAGCUGCUUACAUAUUGAGCAUCAAGAUCUAUAGAGAUAGAUGAAGACGCUUGAUAAGUUUUUCAAUGAGUACAUACCUUAACAAGAUUUUGAAGUAGUUCAAAAUAGAACAGUCAAAGAAAGAGUUCUUGCCUGUGUUACAAGGUGUCAAAUUGAGUAAAGACUCAAAGCCCGACCACGGCAAAAGAUAGAAAGAGAAUGAAAGUCAUUCCCUAUGCCUUGGCCAUAGGUUCUAGAAAGUAUGCCAUGCUGUGUACCAGAUCUAUUGUAUACCCUACACUGAUUUUGGCAAGGGAGUACAAUAGUGAUCUAGGAGUAGAUCACUGGACAUCGGUCAAAAUUAUCCUUAGUGGAAUAAGGAAAUGUUUCUCGAUUAUGGAAGUGACAAAAGGUUCGUCGUAAAGGGUUACGUCGAUGCAAGUUUUGACACUAAAUCUAGAUGACUCUAAGUCUCGGUCUAGAUAUAUAUUGAAAGUGGGAGCAAUUAGCUAGAGUAGCUCCGUGCAGAGCAUUGUAGACAUAGAAAUUUGCAAAAUACUUACGGAUCUGAAUGUGACAGACCCGUUGACUAAAAUUAUCUCACAAUCAAAACAUGAUCACACCUUAGUACUCUUUGGGUGUUAAUCACAUAGCGAUGUGAACUAGAUUAUUGACUCUAGUAAACCCUUUGAGUGUUGGUCACAUAGAGAUGUGAACUAUGGGUGUUAAUCACAUGGUGAUGUGAACUAUUGCUGUUAAAUCACAUGGCGAUGUGAACUAGAUUAUUGACUCUAGUGCAAGUGGGAGACUGAAGGAAAUAUGCCCUAGAGGCAAUAAUAAAGUUAUUAUUUAUUUCCUUAUAUCAUGAUAAAUGUUUAUUAUUCAUGCUAGAAUUGUAUUAACCGGAAACUUGAUACAUGUGUGAAUACAUAGACAAACAGAGUGUCACUAGUAUGCCUCUACUUGACUAGCUCGUUAAUCAAAGAUGGUUAUGUUUCCUAGCCAUAGACAUAAGUUGUCAUUUGAUUAACGAGAUCACCUCAUUAGGAGAAUGACGUGAUUGACUUGACCCAUUCCGUUAGCUUAGCACUCGAUCGUUUAGUAUGUUGCUAUUGCUUUCUUCAUGACUUAUACAUGUUCCUAUGACUAUGAGAUUAUGCAACUCCCGUUUACCGGAGGAACACUUUGUGUGCUACCAAACGUCACAACGUAAAUGGGUGAUUAUAAAGGUGUUCUACAGGUGUCUCCAAUGGUACUUGUUGGGUUGGCGUAUUUCGAGAUUAGGAUUUGUCACUCCGAUUGUCGGAGAGGUAUCUCUGGGCCCACUCGGUAAUGCACAUCACUAUAAGCCUUGCAAGCAUUGCAACUAAUGAGCUAGUUGCGGGAUGAUGUAUUACGGAACGAGUAAAGAGACUUGCCGGUAACGAGAUUGAACUAGGUAUUGAGAUACCGACGAUCGAAUCUCGGGCAAGUAACAUACUGAUGACAAAGGGAACAACGUAUGUUGUUAUGCGGUCUGACCGAUAAAGAUCUUCGUAGAAUAUGUGGGAGCCAAUAUGGGCAUCCAGGUCCCGCUAUUGGUUAUUGACCGGAGACGUGUCUCGGUCAUGUCUACAUAGUUCUCGAACCCGUAGGGUCCGCACGCUUAAAGUUACGAUGACAGUUUUAUUAUGAGUUUAUGUAUGUUGAUGUACCGAAGGAGUUUGGAGUCCCGGAUGAGAUCGGGGACAUGACGAGGAGUCUCGAAAUGGCCGAGACGUAAAGAUCGAUAUAUUGGACGACUAUAUUCGGACUUCGGAAAGGUUCCGAGUGAUUCGGGUAUUUUUCGGAGUACCGGAGAGUUACGGGAAUACGUAUUGGGCCUUAUUGGGCCAUACGGGAAAGAAGAAAAAGGGCCUCAAGGGUGGCCGCACCCCUCCCCUUGGUCUGGUCCGAAUUGGACUAGGGAAGGGGGGCGCCCCCUUCCUUCCUUCUCUUUUUCCCUUUCUCUUUUCCUAUUCCAUAUGGGAGGUGGAAUCCUACUAGGACUAGGGAGUCCUAGUAGGACUCCACACUUGGUGCGCCCCCUCCUAGGGCCGGCCUCCUCCUCCCUUGCUCCUUUAUAUACGGGGGCAGGGGGGCACCCCAGAGACACAACAAUUGAUCCUUGAGAUCUCUUAGCCGUGUGCGGUGCCCCCCUCCACCAUAUUACACCUCGAUAAUACCGUUGCGGAGCUUAGGCGAAGCCCUGCGUCGGUGGAACAUCAUCAUCGUCACCACGCCGUCGUGCUGACGAAACUCUCCCUCAACACUCGGCUGGAUCGGAGUUCGAGGGACAUCAUCGAGCUGAACGUGUGUAGAACUCGGAGGUGUCGUACGUUCGGUACUUGAUCGGUCGGACCGUGAAGACGUACGACUACAUCAACCGCGUUGUGAUAACGCUUCCGCUAUCGGUCUACGAGGGUAUGUGGACAACACUCUCCCCUCUCGUUGCUAUGCAUCACCAUGAUCUUGCGUGUGCGUAGGAAUUUUUUUUUUGAAAUUACUACGUUCCCCAACAGUCUGUUGGCCAACAGUUUGGUUAUGAUUUUGAGUGUACAAUUCAGCAAUGAAAUAGGUCUGAAAUAUGCUGGGGUAGCUGCAUGGUCCUUCUUUGGGAUGAGGGUAAUGUAGGAGUAGUUGAUACUCUAAAUUUUAACAUGACCUGAGUAGAAGUCUGCAAUCAGCUUAUAAAAAUCAGGAGCAAUGAUAUCCCAGCAAUUUUUCAGAAACGCAGCAUUGAAACCAUCUGGUCCAAGAGAUUUAUCUGCAGGCAUAUGCUUGAUGACAUAAUCAAUCUCUUCCUUAGUAAAUGGUGCUUCUAAUUCAGAAAGAUCAUCAUUUGGGUGGAGCAGUUGGUGCAGAAGAAGUGGAUUUGAGGUUGGUACACUUGUCCCCAUUCUUGCCUUGAAAGCUCUAUAUAGUAUAGCAGCUUUAGCCUGAUGAUCCUGAUGUUCAUGUCCUUGUUCAUCUUUCAACAUUGCAAUACAAUUAUUUCCGAAUUUAAUAGUAGCUUUGGCUUGAAAGUACUUGGUAUUAGCUUCACCCACUUUGAUUUUCCUGAUUGUUGCUCUAUGUUUCCAAUAUUGUCUUUGGUGGUCCAGAGUUAUUUCAAGAUGCAUCUUAAGGAUGUCCCCGCCAUUGUUUUCUUCUGUUGAUAAUGCUUUGAAUUCCUCUAUAGUGUCAAAACAUAAGAUCAUGAAGUUGGUGUUUUCAAUAAUGUUCUUCAGAUCAGAAAGCUCUUUUGCCCACACUUUUAAACCUUUUUCUCAGUCUCUUGAAUUUGGCUGCAAUCACUUUUGCACUGUCUGUUUCUGCUAAUGGUUGUGACCAAAUGGAGCUAACCACAUCUUUGAAUUGAGGGUGUUCAAGCCAGAAAUUUUCAAAUCUGAAAAUGUUGGUUUUGGGGAUGGAAGAGCCUAUCUGAAUUUCGAUAGGCACAUGAUCAGAUGUGGUUUUAGCAAGGGGAUAAGCAAAAGUUGCAGGAUAUUUAAGUGUCCAAGCUUCUGAUGUGAAACACCAAUCUAGCUUUUCUAGCAAUGGUGCAUCCUGCAUAUUACUCCAGGUAAAUCUUCUACCUUUGAGAGGUAUCUCAACCAGGGCCUGUUUGUUUAUGGCUUCAUUGAAUAGAAGCAUAUCAUUAAUGUUACCUCCUUCUCUGCUUCUAUUGUGGGGGUAUCUAAUAUAGUUGAAAUCACCCACAACUAGCCAAUUAACAUCAUCUGGCAUUUGGAAGUUCUGGAACCAAUUGAGGAAGAGAAUUCUUUCAUUUUGUUGACAAGGACCACAAACAUUUGUUAAGAUCCAUGUAUCCCCAUUGUGGGUGGAGGUGAAUUAAAUAGAUAGAGAGAAUUCAUUCACAUGAUAAAUCUGACUAGAAAAUACAUGCUCAUUCCAAGCAAUUAGGAGGCCACCUGCAGCUCCAAUAGAUGGGAGAUAAGCAAACUUUGAGAUUCUUUUGGGGCAGAAGUUUUUGAUAAAUGAGCUAUCAAAACUUUCUUUCUUAGUUUCUUGCAGGCAGAGGAUGGAGCAUUGUGAUUCAUCAAUCUUAUUAGCGAUGGCAGACCAUUUCUUAGGGUCAUUGAUCCCUCUAAUGCUCCAGUUAAGCACAUUCCAAUUCCGGUUCAUGAUGUGAUUGGAUACUGUGACUAGCUAAGAUAAAAAUACUGCAUGACAUAAAGAUGAUGCAACAGAACUUAGAGCUAUUAGAGUAGGAACUAGGCAUAGCAGCAAAAGUCAACACUAUCCCACUAAGAUCAUUACAGGAUAGAGUCUCAAUUAGGUCACAUGACAAGUUUUCAAAGCAGAACAGUUUCAAAAUGCCCAUGGCAAAAGGACUGACUACUACUGGUAAUGCUGAUUGGUGGAUUAAAUCCACUUCUUGUUCAGUUCCUUGCUUCCUUUACUUGCUUCGACCCCUGGAUUUCCUCCUUUAGCUUUCUUGGCCUUCUUGCUGAUCACUGCUUCAGAUGUGUCCUUCUCAGAUACCUUGCAGAAAGAUGUGUUCAAACUUUUAAUGAUUUUGACAGGGAUAUGAGGUGGGAUAGCAUGACAUGCCAGACAUUCUUUGUCUCUACAGACUGCUUUUUUAAAACCUUUAGAUAGUUUUUGGAGUCUACAGCUCAUCCUUACCUCAGUUUCAACCAGGGGUACUUUCUCUUUUCUUUUAUUGUUGUGGUGGAGGGCAGAUGUGGAUGAUGCAGAUAUAACUUCAGUGGAAGUAUUGCCUGUGGGAUAGGAGUUCUCCUGAUCAUGUGUCACCUGAAAUCCAAGUGACAGAGAACAUGCAAGUGAUGUCUCAUUAGGGCAGGUCUCAGGCACAACAAAUGGGAGAGUGACAGUAGAUGCUGCUCCAUGGGUGAUGAUUUCCCAAACAGAUGAUGUAAUGAACUUUUUGACCCAAUCAAAUUUAUCUGGUGAUAGAAAUGUAACAGAUAGGAAGUUGAGCCAUUCGACUGGUACCUGAAUGAUGUCUUUGCUAUUCUCCUUGGGAGCAAAUUGCUCCCUCCAAACUCUUGCCCCUUCCACCCCUAGAUGUUGCUCUACCAGAGACUGAUUACAUGAGGUGAUGUUUGUCAGAACUGUAGCCCUGUUUUGCACUUGCAAGCACUCCAUUCCUGAAGUAUGAGCUUGAUUAGCAAAAAUAGGAUUAGGGAAUCCUGGUGGAGCAGUCAGGUCAGAGUCAGCUCUCUCACCUUCAUCAGUUGCAUCAGGUUGGGCAUUGUCAUCAUGGGCAGGUAACAUGUGGUUAUCCUGAGGUGGUUGUACAACUAGAGCAGUGAUAUUCAGAUUGUCUUCUAGUGUGAGUACAGUCCCAGUGGCAACAUUCUCUUUGUCUUUUGUUUCUUCAGUUGCAUAGUUCUCAGAUUGAGGAGGUGCAUGUGGCACACUGUCAGGCAUAAUUACUUGAGCCCUGCUGCUAGAUGCAUAUUCUCCAGUAACUGACGGUAACAUUGGAGUGGCUGGUAACUGAACUAUAGGAGCAAUGUCAGGGUGUGCAAGGAGUUCGAACUGCAUAGGUUCAACCAUUCUCUCCUCCCCAUGGUGAGAAUCUUGUGCCAUGAUAGCAUCCAGACUUGGAUCAUAGUGGGCCUGGUCCAUAGGCAAAACUAUAGGAUCAGCUAUAUGGGCCUGAGGCUCCGGCCCAUGGGGAGCAGCCAACAUAUUUAAAUCUGGGAGUGCUGGUUCAAUUGGCGCCAAAGGACCAUUGGCAGAGGCAGCAGAAUUAGCACUGUUAUCUGAUGGCACCAGUGAGAGAGUAAUACUGCUCUGAUCAUUAAUAUUCAAGUCUUCCUCUAGUGGUUCAAAUAUUUCCUCCAUAGCUAAGAAUUCACCAGCCUCAUUUUCCAGAUCCACUUCUUGGGGCAUAGCCCAGUGCCCCCAUCCAGGCAUGUCUUCUUGGUUCUCUUCCUCCUCUAUGUCAUCAUCUAUCUCCAUGUUCUGGGCUGCAUUAUUACCAACAUGGAGUGCUAGCUGAAGAUUCAACUAUGGGCCAACAACUGGAUCAUGAUGCUCAUCAUGUUCAUGCUAUUGCAGAGGUCCAAGAAAAUGGUUGUGUUGGUUGGGGUGAUAGUUUGCUUGGGGGGAAUAGGAUGAGGGUUUCCAUUUGGGUCAAUAGGGUCCUCAUCAGGUGCUUCCAUACCUAGAAUUUGCUGCUAUAGAAUCACAACCGGGACAGUGAGAGAUUCAAUCUGAAAAUCAUAGCCUUCCCCAAAUACAAUGCUGGUGGGGAUGUCUCUGAGCUCUUCCACUCUGACUUUCACCAUAAGAUUAGCUCUAGUGCUCCUAAUUUUGUCCCAUUGUAAGAACUUACCAAAUUUACUAACAGCAUUGCUCACUUCUUGUAUGUUCCUCCUGUCAAAUGGAUAACCACAUAACAUAAUCCAUGCAUCUCUGUUCAAAACCAACCUCCUACAAUUCAAGCCUCUGUUGUGCUUCUCAAAUAUGACAUGGACAUCUGUAAACAUGUGCGGGCUACUGGUAACCAGAGAAUCUCUAUCGAACACGCUGUGUAGCUUGACAUAAGCCUGACCAAAUGGGCAUGGCUCUAUCUCUGAAAACCCCAAUUGCCUAUCAAUGAAGAAAUCAGCAAGUACCUCUCUGAUGGUGUCGAAUGCCACCGGAAGAUCAGGCAUCGACACAAUGGACGCAAUCGCCCAUUCUUCAUGUGUGGCCGGCGCGGCGCCAGUGAUGACUCAGACCCUAGCAGGGCAGCCGGCGACUUUGAUGCUCUGGUGAUUUGGUGGAAGGAAUGGAGCGGGAUUGAAAGGGAAUGAAGCCAUGGUCGCAUGAUUGAGGGUUGUGGCUAAUGGAGCGGCAGUCGAUUGCCAUCGGGGAGGGUUUGGUGGGAUUGUGGCCUAGCGCAACCGAUGAACAAUGGAGUUUUGGGAAGUGCAAACAUUGAGGCUGCCUCCCCGGAGAGACAGAGGAGGAGCAUUAACUGGGUUGCUGUGGUUGGCCUGCUGACUAGACGCUCGAUUAGUCUCUGUCCGGGAAUAGUGGUGACCUGCCUCGGAAUUGCGAUCGCCGGUGCUGGGCUUGGGCUCCUCACAGUGUGAGGCGUGGGCCUGUUGAGUGUGUAGCUAUCCCUCACGAUAUGUCCCCAUCUCUUGCAGGCCCUGCAUUUGAUUCUGUUGUGACAAUUGGGCCGAGUAUGGCCCGUCAUAAGGCAUCGCACACAGAAAGCCUCUGUUGGGCCUUUUUGAAAAUGCGAAGAUCCGCCUGGUAGGAGUGAUUAGAGUGAUCAAAGGCAUUAAUGCCCUGAUGAGUAAUGUUUCCCUGUGAUUGCGUGUGGUUUGAAUUGGUCCCUGUUGAUCGGGUAGAUCUAAGAUUGGAUCUAGCUUGAUCAUGAAAUGAUGCUGGUGAUCUAAGUGCUUGAAGGUAAGAUUUUCUGGGAUGAUCUUUGAAAAUGUGAGUCCAAGCGUCCUCUUUUUCUUGGAGAUACUGAUCAAGUUCCCAGCUAGAGUUGGGUCCCCCAUUUCCCCAAAGCAAGAAAUUGACAUUGAGGAGUGGGAGGGUAAUGUUAUCUUUCUUGAUGAUUGAGAAGCCCACAUCUUUGGAUGAAACAGAGAACUUGAAGGACCAGUUUUGGAGCAAUUUGACUUUGUAAAGAGAUGCACGACCACCAAAACAUGAGAGGAGAAUAGUGCUUACAGAUUCUUCCGUAAGCCUAAUCCUUGAUCUUGUGAAUUCAGCCACAAGGAGGAAUUCCUCCAUGUCCUUGCCUUCCUCAUAGUUGAUUGGGACACCCCAUUUCCUCCAUACUUCCGCAGCGAAAUCUUGCCCGACGUCGAAGUUGAGAUCUGCAAGUGCCAUGGUUGGGUUGGUGGAGAGUUUAUGGAUGAGUGGGUGGCCGCCGACGCCGGAGUGGCGGCCGGCGGGGAGGGUGGCCGCCGCGGCCGGAGUGGCCUACGACGCUAGGAGAGGAGGGCACUAGGAGGUCUGAAUGUUGUAAAUUGUUUUGUAGCCAAGCUUACAGAUAUUUAGAUAUUUGUGAGGAUACUAAUAAUGGGGCAAUGUUUCCAGCAAAAUUUAAAUAAGAACCACAAAUAUUGUAUUUCCACAUAAUCAAACAUCGUCCAUCGUCCAAAUUAACACCCCGUUCUUUCACUGUGUGCAAAUUCAGGUGGUCGACGUACAUUCCAGAACCGGAAUACCUCCAACUCCGAUCAUCUAUCCCACGCAUAUAGUUUCAGUAGGGAUCGAACCACCCAUCACGCAUGAUGGGAUCGAUAACGCACACAUGCAUGAUGUGGUUGGAUGAACGGCUAUCUAAAAUUGCAUUUUCCUGCCAAUUGUUAAUAAUGUUAGUACACCAUAUAUGUGUGUGUAUAGAAAAGCGAAAUGCCAGGAUCCUAUAAUAUGCCAAAGCGUGACGACGAUGGCGCGAUGUGCCCCCUAAAGCUAACCAUGCAUCGCCUUGUCCUCUGGUGUCGCCCACCUGCUGGACUACCUAGCUACUCAAACUAAAACUCAAAAUCACGACUGAUUAUAGAUCGAGAAGGACACAGAGCACAAUGCAAGUGGCCGGUAGACCAUGCGGUCCGUCUAGCUACUCCUUGCCUCUGGCGCCAAUUCCAUUGCCCACGGCGCAAGACGUACGUGAAGGUACAUUUAGGGCGCGUUUGGUUACCUCCAUCGUUUUUUGCCCUUUUGCAUAUUUGUCCCAGUUGAGUCUGGUUGAGUAUAUGCAGACAAAAUACCAACAUCUGCAUGUUGAAUGGUUGCCUGCAUGUCCUCUCCCUGCAUCGUAACAAUGCCUCUAUGCAUCAUGUUUGGUUGCUCGCAUUGUACGUGGUUAGAUGAGUGCACGUUGUCUGGUUGCUUGCACGGAAUAUGAUUAAGACUUAACAACUACCCAUAACACACAGUGUUACACUAGAGUGCCUCUGCGACAGCGGUGGGCGGUGGUCACGGCGUCGCGUCCGACACGGCGAGCACGGAGUCACGGGCGAGCGAUCUCAUCGGCGGCACGGUGAGCUAUUUGCUAGCGGCGUCGCUGCAAAGAAAGUCCUGUGGAGUAAUGAUUAGGAAGGCGUUGCGUUGAGGUAGAGGAUGAUGGUGAAAAUAUGUAGUGUGCCUGCCAUGGCAUCGUCAGUGUAGUAGGACGUGGAGGAGGAGGCCAAAAAGAAUGAUGAUGACGACGAUGUCAGUGUAGUAGGACGCAGAGGAGGAGAUAGAAAAGAACGACGAUGAUGACGGCGCCAUUGCAGUAGGAUGCGAGCGAGGAGGCCGAGAGGAACGACGUCGGCGGUGGUUCAGUGUAGCAGGACAUGAGAGAGGAAACAGAGAGGAACGACGACUGCGCGAGUGUAGUAGGACAUGUGAGAGGAGGUUGAGAGGAACGACGUCGGCGGUGGUUUCAGUGUAGCAGGACAUGCAGACAAAGAGGAAUGACGACCACGCGAUUGUAGUAGGACAUGUGAGAGGAGGUUGAGAGGAACGACGUUGGGGGUGGUUUCAGUGUAGCAGGACAUGAGAGAGGAGACAGAGAGGAACGACGACCGCGCGAGUGCAGUAGGACAUGGGAGAGGAGGUUGAGAGGAACGACGUCGGCGGUGGUUUCAGUGUAGUAGGACAUGAGAGAGGAGACAGAGAGGAACGAUGACCGCGCGAGUAUAGUAGGACAUGUGAGAGGAGGUUGAGAGGAAUGACACCGGCGGUGGCGCUAGUGUAACAACACGCGGGCGAGGAGGCCGAGAGGUGACGCCGGUGUAGCAGGACAGAGGAGAGGAGACCGAGCUUAAGGAGUGUCAUUAACACAAAUCACACAUAUGCGUAUAUUCUUCAUGAGAAAGAAGUCAGGUUUAAUCAUCUACGACCAUUGAAACAGAAAAUAUGCAACAUGAAAGUCGUGUCAAGAAGUAAGGUGAAGCUACUGAUCAAAGGAGAAUCCAAACGGUCAACCGUGCACGACGAAUUUGACAAAAUUCAUCCAAAAUAGCUCCAAACAUGAACACGAAACUAAACAUUUACGGUCGACGAAACUAUGAACUGAUCACAAAAAUGGAACCAUAACAUUGAUGCUCAUUUUUUUCAUGUAGAGCUUAGCUCAAAUUGAUCCACCGUUGUGUGGAUUAGAAGGGACCUAAGAAAGGAGAUUAAAGAAGGAUCUUACUAGAGGUGGAAGAAGAAACAAAGCACAGGGUGUAUACUUCUCGCAUUCUCUCGUGCAAGAGGGCCCAUCAUGUGCGCUCGAAGGUGGCUCGCCUCAGUCUGGCCCGGUAGAAACGACCAAUUUGAGCGUUCCUCCAGAUGCAGUCUGAGAGGUGUUUUUUUUUCGACAUUCAACACCUCCUUUAUUGAUUAGCUGCAAUAGUAGCAUCGGAAACAAUUAGGGGGAUAACCGCCCCCGGGGCUGUAUCCAGCCAAACUCCAGGAGGAUUGAAUUUAACUACUCUAGCUAACUCAUGAGCUACUUUAUUGUUUUCUCUACAGCAGUGUUAAUAGAUAAUAUGAGUAAAAUCUAAGGACAUAAAAAACAGUCAUCAAAGAUGGCACUGGCAACCGAAGAAGAACUCCCUUCUUUAAGCGCGUUGACGACCUGAAGACUAUCCGAAUUUAACUUGAUCUUGUCGCAUCCAGCGGCACGGGCUAGAUUCAAGCCAAAUCUUACGGCAAUUGCUUCUACGGUAAUUGCAUCAUAACAUAUGUCUAGUUUUUCAUUCACCGCUGCCAUGAAAUUACUAUUGCAGUCUCUAAUGAUAGUCCCCACAGAUCCUUCCAGCGAAUCAUGGUCGAAUCCUGCAUCCACAUUCAGCUUAACGUACCCAUUCCUCAUCCUCAUCUAGCCACCCUGUCGGAUCUUUGGUUUCAGAGAAUAAGCAUUAAUAUAGUUAGCAGCAAGUGAUCUUACCGCUACAUUGAUCUGUGAUGCAUUAAGAUUUACUCCUCCAUGUGUUAACUUUCUUCUUUCCCACCACAAAAACCAGCAACAAGUGGCAAUUGUUUCUCUGAAUUUGGAGAGUCCCAACACAUGAAUAUGAUUAUCCGGUAGAUUGAGAAGGAACUCCAAGGUUACUUCGCCAGAUCUGUUCAAUAACAGGACGUUAGUGAUUACCUCAUGCAAUCCUAGCAGCUUCCAAGCCUCGGUGGCCGCUGGGCACUCAAACAAUAAGUGUCGGAUGGUCUCAUGACCUAGGUUGCAUGAAGGGCAGUGGGCUUUAAUCUUGAUAUGUCUAUCCGCCAAUAACGCCCGACAUGGAAUAGCGCUGUGGAUCACUCUCCAAGCAAGUUUUGAAAUUUUUGCAGGACAAGUCAGCCCCCAAAGAGAUCUCCAAGAAGGUUUAGACGUUGAUGAGCUACAGCCAGCCUGCAAAUGGUGACCAAAUUGGGCCUCCCAAAUAACAAGAUAUGCAGAUCUUAUUGAGAAGCCCCCUAUCUUUGUCAAGCUCCAGGCCAAGAAGUCUGACAUUUCAUAUAUAGGUAGUGGAAUAUCAAGUAUUCUCUGGACAUCAACAUGAAAAAAGGUUUGGUACACAAGCUGCCCAUCCCACUCCCCCGAUGCAGGAUCAAUUAGCUCAGAUACACGAGAUAAUAAGUGGUUACCUCUAGGAGAGAUAACUUUUUUAGAUGGUGAUUGCGGGAUCCAACAAUCUUCCCAAAUAUUAAUUUUUUGUCCAUCACCCACACUCCAGAUUAGGCCAUGCUUCAAGGUGUCCACUCCUGCCAUUAUACUUUGCCAUGUGUAGGAGGCCUUCUUCCUCAGCCCAACAUUCAUAAGAUCAUCAUUAGGGUAAUACUUUCUUUGAGAAUCUUUGCACAUAGUGAGUCAGGAUCAUCAAUAAGCCUCCAUGGUUGUUUUGCCAAUAGUGCCAGAUUGAAACAAUGAAUGUCUCGGAAUCCCAUACCUCCUUUGCUCUUUGGUAUGUACAUCUUCCACCAAGAAAACCAGUGCAUUCUCUUGUGUGACGCAUCAUCACCCCACCAAAAACGUGAUAUCGCAUAUGUGAUUCCUUUGUAACUUCUUUUAGAAUUUCUAAGACCGACAUCGCAUAAGAUGGUAUGGCUUGUGCAACAGACUUAAUAAGCACUUCCUUACCUCCAGAAGACAGACACUUUUCUUUCCAUCCAGUAAGUCUCAAGAUUAAACGAUCAAUCAAAUACCUCCAGAAGCUGUUGAAGGAAAUAUGCCCUAGAGGCAAUAAUAAAGUUGUUAUUUAUAUUUCCUUAUAUCAUGAUAAAUGUUUAUUAUUCAUGCUAGAAUUGUAUUAACUGGAAACUUAGUACAUGUGUGAAUACAUAGACAAACAGAGUGUCCCUAGUAUGCCUCUACUAGAGUAGCUCGUUAAUCAAAGAUGGUUAACUUUCCUAGCCAUAGACAUGUGUUGUCAUUUGAUGAACGAGAUCACAUCAUUAGAGAAUGAUGUGAUGGACAAGACCCAUCCGUUAGCUUAGCACUAUGAUCGUUUAGUUUAUUGCUAUUGCUUUCUUCAUGACUUAUACAUGUUCCUAUGACUAUGAGAUUAUGCAACUCCCGAAUACCGGAGGAACACUUAGUGUGCUAUCAAACGUCACAACGUAACUGGGUGAUUAUAAAGAUGCUCUACAGGUGUCUCCGAUGGUGUUUGUUGAGUUGGCAUAGAUCGAGACUAGGAUUUGUCACUCCGAUUGUCGGAGAGGUAUCUCUGGGCCCUCUCGGUAAUGCUCAUAAUUAUAAGCCUUGCAUGCAAUGUGACUAAUGGUUUAGUUGCGGGAUGAUGCAUUACAGAACGAGUAAAGAGACUUGCCGGUAACGAGAUUGAACUAGGUAUGAUGAUACCGACGAUCGAAUCUCGGGCAAGUAACAUACCGAUGACAAAGGGAACAACGUAUGUUGUUAUGCCGUUUGACCGAUAAAGAUCUUUGUAGAAUAUGUGGGAGCCAAUAUGAGCAUCUAGGUUCCGCUAUUGGCUAUUGAUCGGAGGUGUGUCUCGGUCAUGUCUACAUAGUUCUCGAACCCGUAGGGUCCGCACGCUUAACGUUCGAUGACGAUUUGUAUUAUGAGUUAUGUGAUUUUAUGUACCGAAGUUUGUUCAGAGUCCCGGAUGAGAUCACGAACAUGACGAGGAGUCUCAAAAUGGUCGAGACAUAAAGAUUCAUAUAUUGGAAGGUUACAUUGGGACACCAGAAUGGUUUGGGUCGUUUCGGAUGAGUUUCGGAGUACCGGGGGUUACCGGAACCCCCCAGGAAGUUAUUGGGCCUCAUGGGCCUAGUGGUGGAAGAGAGGAGGCAGGCCAAGGAGUGCCGCGUGCCCCCUAGCCCAAACCAAAUUGGACUAGGGUUGGGGGGGGGGGGCGGCCCCCAUUUCCUUCUCUUCUCCUCCUCCUUCCCCCUUCUCCUUGUGGGAGUAGGAAAGGGGGGGGCGAAUUCUACUUGGAGUAGGACUCCACCCCUUGGGCGCGCCACACCUUGGUCGGCCUCCUCCUCCCUUCCCCCUUUAUAUACGUGGGAGGGGGGCACCCCAAGGGCACACCAAAGUUUCUCUUAGCCGUCUGCGGUGCCCCCCUCCACAGAAACACACCUCGGUCAUAUCGUCAUAGUGCUUAGGCGAAGCCCUGCGCCGGUAACUUCAUCAUCACCAUCACCAUGCCGUCGUGCUGACGGAACUAUCCCUCAGCCUCAACUGGAUCAAGUGUACGAGGGACAUCAUCGAGCUGAACGUGUGCUGAACACGGAGGUGCCGUACGUUCGGUGCUAAGAUCGGUCGGAUCGUGAAGACGUACGACUACAUCAACCGCGUUGAUAAACGCUUCCGCUUUCAGCCUACGAGGGUACGUGGACACACUCUCCCCACUCGUUGCUAUGCUUCUCCUAGAUAGAUCUUGCAUGAUUGUAGGAUUUUUUUUAAAAUACUACGUUCCCCAAUAGUGGCAUCAGAGCAAAGUCUAUGCGUAGAUGUUACAUGCACGAGUGGAACACAAUGAGUUGUGGGCGAUAAUAGUCAUACUGCUUACCAGCAUGUCUUACUUUGAUUCGGUGGUAUUGUUGGAUGAAGCGGCCCAGACCGACAUUACAUGACCGCGUUCAUGAGACUGGUUCUACCGACGUGCUUCGCACACAGGUGGCUAGUGGGUGUCUGUUUCUCCAUCUUUAGUUGAAUCGAGUUUGACUACGCCCGGUCCUUGUUGAAGGUUAAAACAACACACUGGACGAAAAAUCGUUGUGGUUUUGAUGUGUUGGUAAGAACGGUUCUUGCUAGAAGCCCGUAGCAGCCAUGUAAAACUUGCAACAACAAAGUAGAGGACGUCGAACCUAUUUUUGCAGGGCUUGCUGUGAUGUGAUAUGGUCAAGACGUGAUGAUAUAUAAAUUUUUGUAUGAGAUGAUCAUGUUUUGUAAAAGUUAUUGGCAACUGGCAGGAGCCUUAUGGUUGUCGCUUUAUUGUAUGAAAUGCAAUCGCCAUGUAAUUGCUUUACUUUAUCACUAAGCGGUAGCGAUAGUCGUAGAAGCAAUAGUUGGCGAGACGACAACGAUGCUUCGAUGGAGAUCAAGGUGUCAAGCCAGUGACGAUGGUGAUCAUGACGGUGCUUUGGAGAUGGAGAUCAAAGGCACAAGAUGAUGAUGGCCAUAUCAUAUCACUUAUAUUGAUUGCAUGUGAUGUUUAUCCUUUAUGCAUCUUAUUUUGCUUAGUACGGCGGUAGCAUUAUAAGAUGAUCUCUCACUAAAUUUCAAGGUAUAAGUGUUCUCCCUGAGUAUGCACCGUUGCUACAGUUCGUCGUGCCGAGACACCACGUGAUGAUCGGGUGUGAUAAGCUCUACGUUCACAUACAAUGGGUGCAAGCCAGUUUUGCACACGCAGAAUACUCGGGUUAAACUUGACGAUCCUAGCAUAUGCAGAUAUGGCCUUGGAAACUGAGACCGAAAGGUCGAGCAUGAGUCAUAUAGUAGAUAUGAUCAACAUAGUGAUGUUCACCAUUGAAAACUACUCCAUCUCACGUGAUGAUCAGACAUGGUUUAGUUUAUUUGGAUCACGUGAUCACUUAGAAGAUUAGAAGGAUGUCUAUCUAAGUGGGAGUUCUUAAGUACUAUGAUUAAUUGAACUUUAAUUUAUCAUGAACUUAGUACCUGAUAGUAUUUUGCAUGUCUAUGUUGUUGUAGAUUAAUGGCCCGUCCUACUGUUCCUUUGAAUUUUAAUGCGUUCCUAGAGAAAGCUAAGUUGAAAGAUGAUGGUAGCUACACGGACUGGGUCCAUAACUUGAGGAUUAUCCUCAUUUCUACACAGAAGAAUUACGUCCUGGAAGCACCGCUAGGUGCAAGACCCGUUGCAGGAGCAACACCAGACGUUGUGAACGCCUGGCAGAGCAAAGCUGAUGACUACUCAAUAGUUCAGUGUGCCAUGCUUUACGGCUUAGAACCGGGACUUCAACGACAUUUUGAACAUCAUGGAGCAUAUGAGAUGUUCCAGGAGUUCAAGUUAAUAUUUCAAGCAAAUGCCCGGAUUGAGAGAUAUGAAGUCUCCAAUAAGUUCUACAGCUGCAAAAUGGAGGAGAAUAGUUCUGUCAGUGAGCAUAUACUCAGAAUGUUUGGGUACCACAAUCACGUGACUCAACUGGGAGUUAAUCUUCUGGUUGAUAGUGUCAUUGACAGAGUUCUUCAAUCACUGCCACCAAGCUACAAAAGCUUCAUGAUGAACUAUAAUAUGCAAGGGGUGGAUAAGACAAUUCCCGAGCUCUUCACGAUGCUAAAGGCUACGGAGGUAGAAAUCAAGAAGGACCAUCAACUGUUGAUGGUUAACAAGACCACUAGUUUCAAGAAGAAGGGCAAAGGGAAGAAGGGGAACUUCAAAAAGAACGACAAGCAAGUUGCUGCUCAAGUGAAGAAGCCCAAGUCUGGACCUAAGCCUGAGACUGAGUGCUUCUAUUGCAAAGGGACUGGUCACUGGAAGCGGAACUGCCCCAAGUAUUUGGCGGAUAAGAAGGAUGGAAAAGUGAAAGGUAUAUUUGAUAUACAUGUUAUUGAUGUGUACCUUACUAAUGCUCGUAGUUGCGCCUGGGUAUUUGAUACUGGUUCUGUUACUCAUAUUUGCAACUCGAAACAGGGGCUAUGGAUUAAGAGAAGAUUGGCUAAGGAUGAGGUGACGAUGCGCGUGGGAAAUGGUUCCAAAGUCGAUGUGAUCGCCGUCGGCACGCUACCUCUACAUCUACCUUCAGGAUUAGUUUUGGACCUGAAUAAUUGUUAUUUGGUGCCAGCGUUAAGCAUGAACAUUAUAUCUGGAUCUUGUUUGAUGCGAGAUGGUUAUUCAUUUAAAUCAGAGAAUAAUGGUUGUUCUAUUUAUAUGAGUAAUAUCUUUUAUGGUCAUGCACCCUUGAUGAGUGGUCUAUUUUUAUUGAAUCUCGAUAGUAGUGAUACACAUAUUCAUAGUAUUCAUGCCAAAAGAUAUAAGUUUAAUAAUGAUAAUGCAACGUAUUUGUGGCACUGCCGUUUAGGUCAUAUUGGUGUAAAGCGCAUGAAGAAACUCCAUGCUGAUGGGCCUUUGGAAUCACUUGAUUAUGAAUCACUUGAUGCUUGCGAACCAUGCCUCAUGGGCAAGAUGACUAAGACUUCGUUCUCCGGAACAAUGGAGCGAGCAACAGAAUUAUUGAAAAUAAUACAUACUGAUGUAUGCGGUCCGAUGAGUGUUGAUGCUCGCGGCCGGUAUCGUUAUUUUCUGACCUUCACAGAUGAUUUGAGCAGAUAUGGGUAUAUCUACUUUUGAAAAGUUCAAAGAAUUUCAGAGUGAAGUGGAAAAUCAUCAUAACAAGAAAAUAAAGUUUCGAUGAUCUGAUCAUGGAGCUGAAUAUUUGAGUUAUGAGUUUGGUCUUCAUUUGAAACAAUGCGGAAUAGUUUCGCAACUCACGCCACCUGGAACACCACAACGUAAUGGUGUAUCCGAACGUCGUAACCGCACUUUAUUAGAUAUGGUGCGAUCUAUAAUGUCUCUUACUGAUUUACCGCUAUCCUUUUAGGGUUAUGCUUUAGAGACGGCUGCAUUCACGUUAAAUAGGGCACCAUCUAAAUCCGUUGAGACGACACCAUAUGAACUGUGGUUUGGCAAGAAACCCAAGUUGUCGUUUCUUAAAGUUUGGGGCUGCGAUGCUUAUGUGAAAAAGCUUCAACUUGAUAAGCUCGAACCCAAAUCGGAGAAAUGUGUCUUCAUAGGAUACCCAAAAGAAACUGUUGGGUACACCUUCUAUCACAGAUCCGAAGGCAAGAUAUUCGUUGCUAAGAAUGGAUCCUUUCUAGAGAAGGAGUGUCUCUCGAAAGAAGUGAGUGGGAGGAAAGUAGAAAUUGAUGAGGUAAUAGUACCUUCUCUUAAAUUGGAAAGUAGUUCAUCACAGAAAUCAGUUCCAGUGAUUCCUACACCAAUUAGCGAGGAAGCUAAUGAUGAUGAUCAUGAAACUUCUGAUCAAGUUACUACCAAACCUUGUAGGUCAACCAGAGUAAGAUCCGCACUAGAGUGGUACGGUAAUCCUGUUCUGGAGGUCAUGUUACUUGACCAUGACGAACCUACGAAUUAUGAGGAAGCGAUGAUCAGCCCAAAUACCGCAAAAUGGCUCGAGGCCAUGAAAUCUGAGAUGGGAUCCAUGUAUGAGUACAAAGUGUGGACUUUGGUUGACUUGCCUGAUGAUCGGCAAGCCACAGAGAAUAAAUGGAUCUUCAAGAAGAAGACUGACGCUGACGGUAAUGUUACUGUCUACAAAGCUCGACUUGUUGCAAAAGGUUUUCGACAAGUUCAAGGAGUUGACUAUGAUGAGACCUUCUCACCCGUAGCGAUGCUUAAGUUCGUCCGAAUCAUGUUAGCAAUUGCCGCAUUUUAUGAUUAUGAAAUUUGGCAAAUGGAUGUCAAAACUGCAUUCCUUAAUGGAUAUCUUAAAGAAGAGUUGUAUAUGAUGCAACUAGAAGGUUUUGUCGAUCCAAAAGGUGCUAACAAAGUGUGCAAGCUCCAACGAUCCAUUUAUGGACUGGUGCAAGCAUCUCGGAGUUGGAAUAUACGCUUUGAUAGUGUGAUCAAAGCAUAUGGUUUUAUACAGACUUUUGGAGAAGCCUUUAUUUACAAGAAAGUGAGUGGGAGCUCUGUAGCAUUUCUGAUAUCAUAUGUGGAUGACAUAUUGUUGAUUGGAAAUGAUACUGAAUUUUUGGAUAGCAUAAAAGGAUACUUGAAUAAGAAUUUUUCAAUGAAAGACCUCGGUGAGGCUGCUUAUAUAUUGGGCAUCAAGAUCUAUAGAGAGAGAUCAAGACGCUUAAUUGGACUUUCACAAAGCACAUACCUUGAUAAAGUUUUGAAGAAGUUCAAAAUGGAUUAAGCAAAGAAAGGGUUCUUUCCUGUGUUACAAGGUGUGAAGUUGAGUCAGACUCAAUGCCCGACCACUCAGAAGAUAGAGAGAAAAUGAAAGUCAUUCCCUAUGCCUCAUCCAUAGGUUCUAUCAUGUAUGCAAUGCUGUGUACCAGACCUGAUGUGUGCCUUGCUAUUAGUUUAGCAGGGAGGUACCAAAGUAAUCUAGGAGUGGAUCACUGGACAUCGGUCAAGAACAUCCUGAAAUACCUGAAAAGGACUAAGGAUAUGUUUCUUGUUUAUGGAGGUGACAAAGAGCUCGUCGUAAACGGUUACAUCGAUGCAAGCUUUGACACUGAUCCGGAUGACUCUAAGUCACAAACCGGAUACGUAUUUAUAUUGAAUGGUGGAGCUGUAAGUUGUGCAGUUCCAAUCAGAGCAUCAUGGCGGGAUCUACGUGUGAAGUGGAGUACAUAGCUGCUUCAGAAGCUGCAAAUGAAGGAGUCUGGAUGAAGGAGUUCAUAUCCGAUCUAGGUGUCAUACAUAGUGCAUCGGGUCCAAUGAAAAUCUUUUGUUAUAAUACUGGUGCAAUUGCCUUGGCAAAGGAAUCCAGAUUUCACAAGAGAACCAAGCACAUCAAGAGACGCUUCAAUUCCAUCCGCGAUCAAGUCAAGGAGGGAGACAUAGAGAUUUGCAAGGUACAUACGGAUCUGAAUGUUGCAGACUCGUUGACUAAGCCUCUCUCACGAGCAAAACAGGAUCAGUACCAAGACUCCAUGGGUGUUAGAAUCAUUACUCUGUAAUCUAGAUUAUUGACUCUAGUGCAAGUGGGAGACUGAAGGAAAAAUGCCCUAGAGGCAAUAAUAAAGUUGUUAUUUAUAUUUCCUUAUAUCAUGAUAAAUGUUUAUUAUGCAUGCUAGAAUUGUAUUAACCGAAAACUUAGUACAUGUGUGAAUACAUAGACAAACAGAGUGUCCCUAGUAUGCCUCUACUAGACUAGCUCGUUAAUCAAAGAUGGUUAAGUUUCCUAGCCAUAGACAUGUGUUGUCAUUUGAUGAACGGGAUCACAUCAUUAGAGAAUGAUGUGAUGGAAAAGACCCAUCCGUUAGCUUAGCACUAUGAUCGUUUAGUUUAUUGCUAUUGCUUUCUUCAUGACUUAUACAUGUUCCUAUGACUAUGAGAUUAUGGAACUCCCAAAUACCGGAGGAACACUUAGCGUGCUAUCAAACGUCACAACGUAACUGGGUGAUUAUAAAGAUGCUCUACAGGUGUCUCCGAUGGUGUUUGUUGAGUUGGCAUAGAUCGAGAUUAGGAUUUGUCACUCCGAUUGUCGGAGAGGUAUCUCUGGGCCCUCUCGGUAAUGCUCAUCACUAUAAGCCUUGCAAGCAAUGUGACUAAUGGUUUAGUUGCGGGAUGAUGCAUUACGGAACGAGUAAAGAGACUUGCUGGUAACGAGAUUGAACUAGGUAUGAUGAUACCGACGAUCGAAUCUCGGGAAAGUAACAUACCGAUGACAAAGGGAACAACGUAUGUUGUUAUGCGGUUUGACCGAUAAAGAUCUUCGUAGAAUAUGUGGGAGCCAAUAUGAGCAUCCAGGUUCUGCUAUUGGUUAUUGACGGGAGAUAUGUCUCGGUCAUGUCUACAUAGUUCUCAAACCCGUAGGGUCGUGAUCUGGUCUUGGGACAACAUUGGCACCCCCGUUUACUUGAUCUUCUAGGCACUCUAAAGCGCUUAACGCUCGAUGACGAUUUGUAUUAUGAGUUAUGUGAUUUGAUGUACCAAAGUUUGUUCAGAGUCCCGGAUGAGAUCAUGGACAUGACGAGGAGUCUCGAAAUGGUCGAGACAUAAAGAUUCAUAUAUAGGAAGGUUACAUUCGGACACCGGAAUGGUUCGGGUCGUUUUGGAUGAGUUUCGGAGUACCGGGGGUUACCGGAACCCCCCCGGGAAGUUAUUGGGCCUCAUGGGCCUAGUGGUGGAAGAGAGGAGGCAGGCCGAGGAGUGGCGCGUGCCCCCCUAGCCCAAACCGAAUUGGACUAGGGUUGGGGGGGGGGCGCCCCCUUUCCUUCUCUUCUCCUCCUCCUUCCCCCUUCUCCUUGUGGGAAUAAGAAGGGGGGGGGGCGAAUCCUACUUGGAGUAGCACUCCCCCCUUGGGCGUGCCACACCUUGGCCGGCCUCCUCCUCCCUUCCCCCUUUAUAUACGUGGGAGGGGGGCACCCCAAGGGCACACCAAAGUUUCUCUUAGCCGUGUGCGGUGCCCCCUCCACAGAAACACACCUCGGUCAUAUCGUCGUAGUGCUUAGGCGAAGCCCUGUGCCGGUAACUUCAUCAUCACCGUCACCACGCCGUCGUGCUGACAGAACUCUCCCUCAGCCUCAACUAGAUCAAGAGUACGAUGGACAUCAUCGAGCUGAACGUGUGCUGAACACGGAGGUGCCGUAUGUUCGGUGCUAAGAUCGGUCGGAUCGUGAAGACGUACGACUACGUCAACCGCGUUGAUAAACGCUUCCGCUUUCGGUCUAUGAGGGUAUGUGGACACACUCUCCCCGCUUGUUGCUAUGCUUCUCCUAGAUAGAUCUUGCGUGAUCGUAGGAUUUUUUUUGAAAUACUACGUUCCCCAACAGUUGUCACUUUUAUCCAACCCCAGGGUAGCAAGCAAACCCAAGUACUUAUCAUUGAUGGCCUCUGUCAUUAUAUUAAGUGUGCCAAAAACCCGAGCCUUCAUGUUAACAUCUGUGCUAGGACUGAAGAAAAUGCUCUAUUUAUCCACACUUACCAGCUGACCUGAGGCCCCACAGUAUAAAUCUAAUAGUGAUUUCAGACAAGUGGUGUUUUGUACAUUAGCUUUCAUUAGAAUUAACGUAUCAUUAGCAAAUAAAAAGUUGGUAACAGACGGUGCAUCACGACAAACCUUAACUCGACUAAAUCUCCUGACUGCUCUGCAUGAUUUAACAAGGUUGUAAGUCCCUCUGUACAUAGCAGGAAUAGAUAUGGUGAGAAGGGAUCUCCCUGUCGAAGUCGACGAGAAGGUUUGAUCGUCUCUGAUUCAACUGAAUUAUAUCUCACUUUGUACUCCACAGAAGACACACAUGCCAUUAUCAUUCUGACCCAAUCAGGGUUGAAACCCAAUUUCAACAAGAUUGCUUCCAAGAACAUCCACUCAACACGGUCAUAGGCUUUGUGCAUAUCUAGUUUUACCACACACCAGCCCUCCUUGCCUGCUCUUCUCUGUUUAAUAGCAUGGAGACUUUCAUAUGCAAUCAAAACAUUAUCAGUAAUAAGCCUCCCUGGGACAAAGGCACUUUGUGUAGGACUAAUAAUUUCUGGAAGUAAUUUUUUAGCCUAGCAGCAAUCAUCUUAGAGAUAGUUUUGUAGACCACGUUGCAUAAGCUAAUUGGUCUAAAAUAUGCGACUUUCUCAGGUGUGUUUACCUUAGGGAUCAUUACAAUGAUAGUGUCAUUACAACCAUGUGGCACCUCCUGAGAGUUGACUACAUUUAACACCUCCAUGACUGGAUCAUCCCCAAGCAUUUGCCAAAAUCUUUUGUAAAAGACUGCAUGUAAACCAUCCGACCCCGGUGCUUUAAAAUCACCAAUGGAGAAUAGAGCUUUCCUAACCUCCUCAGCCAUGUAUGGUGCCAUAAUAGCCUCACUCAUAGGAUCUUUUACUCUUCAUUGCACUAGAGACAUCACAUUAUGGUCCGGUUCGGAUAUAAUGGCCUUUAUAUCAUCAUCAUUUUCUUUCCACACUCCUGUAUCAUCUAGUAGUUUUUUUAAUGCAGUUCCUUUUCUUCCGCACUGUUGCUGCUCUGUGAAAGAAAGCUGUGUUCCGGUUGCCAUGAAGUAGCCAGUUAGCGCGCCCACGCUGGAGCCAUAUCAUCUCCUCCUGAUCCAACAAGUUCUCAACAAGAACCUGUAGCUCUUUCAUUUUUUGCCGCGCUUCAAAAGUAUUAGGUCCACGCCUUAGUUUCUCUAUUUCCUUCUUAAGCUUAUUUAUUCUCUUUUUUGGGCUUUUGAGUGUCUCUCGAUCCCAUUCAUGCAGGUCAGUGAGAACUGCGUUAGUUUGGCCAACAAGUGUGGUACCUAUCCCUGCCAACUUGGCCCGUUCCCAUGCUGAACUGAUGAUCUCACUUACUGUCCCUUCGUUCAGCCAGCGCGCUUCAAACAUAUGGUUGCGCUUCUGCUGUUGCGCGAUCAUUUGUUUAUAAUAUUCAGUAUCGAGAAGAACCGGUCUGUGAUCUGAAUGUAUAUGAUGCUCAUGUACCAAACCUGCAUACAGAAAUUUUCCUGCCCAUAACUCGUUGCAUAAGGCCCUAUUGAGCCUCUCUCUAAUAGCCCCCCGACUCCAAGUGAACAUGUCUCCUAUCACCAUGACCUCUUGCAAGCCACAAUCAUCAAUACAAUCUCUAAAUCUUGCAUGUAGUGUUGAGGCCGGAAAUUACCUCCUUCUUUCUCACUUGUAGUGGUUAUUUCAUUAAAAUCGCCAAGCACUAACCAAGGCCCCGUACUGUUAUUAUGAAGAUCAAGCAAGCAUGUCCACGAGAGGUGCUUCCUUUCCCAAAUUGGUUCCCCAUAGAAACCAGUUAGCCGGCAUGAUGGAUUGUUACCAUCCAUCACUAUGCAGUCUAUAAAAUUGUCGGAAGAGUAAUUCAAGACCACUUCAUUAACUGAAUUAUAAAAGAGCACAAGUCCACUAGAACGGCCAUCACUGCCCACUAAGUGAAAUAAAUCAAAACCUAGCUUAACCCUCAAUCCUUCUGCCUUAUCCUUGUUUAAAUGUGAUUCCGACAAAAAGAUUACAUUCGCUUUCACACGCCCUUGGAGCUCCAAGAGCUCUCAAACUGCCGUGCAUGAAAGCAUUCCAAGACAGUACCAUGCUAAAGUUUUCAAUACAUCCGACGACCACCCUGCUCAGAGGUCGCCGAUGUAUUACCAGAUUUUUUUGUAACUGCCUCUCCAUCUGUUCCUUUUAGCUUCUUCCUAUUCAGACUUUUCUAUGGUGUGCCCCCAUCAACCAAGGGCUCUUCUUCACUUCCCUCAAAAUGAUGAGCAAUCACAGCUGUAUUACCCACCAGAACUAGCUCCGUACUCCGAUCCAGAGGACCAUUCGCCAAGCCCCUCGAUAUCGAAUCAUGAGCAUCCCUCUUCCCCAACACAAGGGGAUCUUCAUGCUGUUGUUCAGUCAUCAAUGAUGAUGUCCCUAUAUUGGCUGCUGGGUCCAUUUGGGCAUUAAACCUCCAGCUUCUACUGGGACCAUAAUCUGACAGUAUACCUUCGCCCAAAACAGGUGCCUUAGAUUGAUUCACCACGUUCUCUUAUUCUGUGUCCCUUGGAUUUUGUCCACGGUCACCGAAGUUAUUCUCCCUCCUCCCACGACCUCAGCCUCAACCACCCGACAUUUCAGGCACUUCACCACGAUUAGCAGUACCAGGUCUACCUCCUCUAGCCCCUCUUUCUAGAGGCAACAAUGAACGUCCCCCACUCAAACUUCGUGGUAUCAUGCUCUCCUGAUCCAUACUCUUCUUACCAGUGUCCCAUCAUGCCGCACUCAUAACAAAAGGUUGGGAGCUUCUCAAACUUCACACUGUAGGAUUCAGUUUCACCCGCCUUGGUAAAUCUGACAACUCUUGUUAGUUUUUUUUGCUUACAUCCAGCCUUAUCUGACUCUUAUAAACUCGUCAACAAAACCAUUAGGGAGCGUGACCUGGACCUCUUGUACAUCGCCAAUGCGUCUUGCUAGAUUUUCCAGAAAACUUUUGUUUUUCAAAACUCCAUCUGGCAGUUUGUGGAUUUGCGCCCAAGUUUCCAACCGAUCAAGCUUUACCUUUUCUGGCUUGGAGAAGCCAUCAUACUCAGCAAGAAUUAAAGCAUGUCUGUUGAAAUCCUAGGGGCCCUGAUGCAUGGCCAUGUUCUAAUCACCCAAGCAGUUGAAUUGGAUAGAAAAGAGGUUAGGGUUUAUCCUCCUCCAAACUACUUGAUUUGCCGAAUCCCAUGCUGCACGCAUGUCACCAAUUAGGGCGCUCUGACUAAACGUUUUGGUCGUCAGUAUACGUCCAAUCGCAAGCCACUUUGGUCUAACCUCCUCUGUGCCAAUCUCAUCUUCCCAAACCAAAUCAUCAAGUUCAUCCUCCUGCAGGGUUAGGCGAUCUAGUAGAUCGGUGAUACUAUCAACUCACGGCCCCUUGGGCACUUCUUCGUCCACCUAACUAGCCAUGCCUCCCAGCGAACCAGCAGAACAAACAACGAAGACUCUUCUCAAACCCUAGCAACACCCUGCUCCCCACCAAGGCCGGGUAGGCAAUCCAGUUGCCCCCUGGUUCAGCCCGAGCGGGAAGGGAGAAUGUAGCGUGGGAGUGAAGGGAGAGAGAUCGGCUUUCUGGAAGAAACGAGACUCACGGCGCAGAUCGCCAGAGGACUAGAAAACCCUAGGCCGCCGCCGUAGGGGACUGGAAACACAAUUGCACGUCAGUCCGAGAGGUACUUUGAGUUUCGUGCGGGCCAACUUUUUCAUACGACCCAGGUAACCAAACAACCCAAAAAUAAUCCGCCUGGGCCUGGCUGGGCCUAAUGCGACCAACCAAACGCAUCUUUAGUGGCCUGCCAUUUCAAGAAGCAGACGCAGCAACCAUUUUUAUGUUCGGUCGAUCGAGCUGAGCUAGACGAUGGAAUCCAACCAAUGCAUCAUCGAUCCACCAACCGGAUGGGCACCCUGGUCCCAGGCCAGGGCUACUAGAUCGCGGAUUGAACUGAUUAAAACUAAGCAGCUAAUGAUCGAAAUAACUCUUGGUUGGAUGGAUCGGAGCUUGCAUAUGGAACGAGCAGAUCUGGAACGGGACCGGUGGAUGCUCGAGGACCCCGGCCUGGCCGGGAGAUCGAUGGCUGCUUUGGUCCCUCCAUAUCUCGCUCGCGUAACGCACACCCACGUCCACACAAGGAAGGAAGAUGCAGGAGUACGUACGUGUGUGUGUAUGUAUAUAUGCUGCUGCUGUUGCGGGGAUCUUGUCCAAGUUGCGGCAAGGGGUGGGGUGCGGUGCGGUGGGGUUGUUGAUAGAUCAUCGUCGAUUCAUUCGAUCGGGUCGCACGUCCCCGGGUGGCGGUCGCUCGCGAGCUUGAGCGUGAGUGAGCUCCAACCCGCUUUGCAUGCAUGCAUGCAGGCAUGCAGCUCGAGAUAGCAUCCUCUGGUCGCACUUGUCAACCUACUGGGGCGUACACGUGCGUGCACAUGCAACAACGUACUGGCCGAACCCAAGGUGAUUAAACUAGGUGUUUGCCUGGUGUUUUCAAUUUCUAUUUUUUUUGCAGGUGUCUUUCAGUUAUUUCAGUUAAAAAAUGUGUCUAUCUUGCAAAACCUGAUUCUUAACAUUUUUUGAUCCGUAAUUAAUUAAGUCAGUGCAUGGCCGGUGUAGUAUUCUAACAUCGUCCUUAGUUUGAUUGGAGAGCGAGACAAGAUACGUGCUCACGGAAAUUUAUAUGUAUGCCUAUAUUAUGAUUGAAUGGAGUUGAAACAUCAUAGACCAUGCAAAUUUACUCAAAACACGAAAAUACAUCCAACUGCUGCUGAAAUGAGUAGAUUAUCUUCUGUUUCACCGUCAACCUACAGGCAAACUAGACAUUAUCAAUCGCUGUAUAAUACUCUCUCUAUUUCAUAUGGUGCAUAAAAUUUUCCUCCGUUUCAUAUUGUGGUGCGUAUAAUUUUAUCUUUUGAAAAGUCAAAUUUUACAAACUUUAAUCAUGUUUAUAGACAAAAUUAUUGGAUAAGGAAGUACACAUAAACCUAUAUACUAGCAGUGAAAAAACAGUUCUUUCCCCUCCACACCAACAGUUUUGCGUCUUGACCUGUACGUCAAGAACAAAGAUCAAGUCCCCUUCAACCAAAAUAAACAAUACUCCUACUCCUAUCUGCAGUACCGUAAAAACUCCACGGGCUGGAGAGAAAUUAAAACUACUCCUAUAUAAAGAGUUGGACACACACGUAUAGGUUCGCGUGCAAUCACUCCACACAUGUGUGCCUGGUGGUGGGUUCUGUUCAUACUUGUUCUGAAAAAAAAAAUUGUUCCUGAGAUUAUUUCCUGGUAGAUUGAUACAGGGCAACCAGCCGAAAACAAUAAUCUCUGAACCGCUGGAAUAUAUAGUAGGGCACGCAUGAUGGGCUGCCACGGACGCCUCUUUCCGUCAUCCAGCCCAACCCAGCGUCCCCACUUUCCUCUCGCUCCAGCGUCCAAUUUAAUUUGGGAGCUUGAACGCUAACCUUCUCCGCUUCAUCUCCCUGAUCAUUGCCUAUUAUAAUCUUCUCCCUUCCCCUUCCUUUUCUCCCUGCGGCUUUCCCCAAACACAGGGAAUCUUCUUCACUUCUAUCCUCACCCACUUCAUCUCCAGCGGUCGAUGGGACUCGGAUCCAGCUGCCCGGCCACAUCUGUCGUUCGAGUGCACUGGGUGAAACUCGAAUCAAGUGCCAGCACCAAGCGGAGGAGAAGCCGUCGGAUUGUGUACAUGGCCCAAGAGGAAGCCCGUAAUAUGCAUGCACCAAGUCGCGGCUUCGGUGAUGUCAAGUGACGCCUCACGCCUCCUUCUAGGAGGAAAGACUCAACGGGGGACAGCCGGACACCAUCAGAUGGGAAAGGCUGGGAACAGAUGUGGGGGUGGCAGCGCCGCCGCACCGGGAGCUGAGGGUUGGGAGCGGAGGCACCAAUGGAAGGUGUCGUGAUCCCAACCCACCACUUCGUGCGCAUCCACCCUCGCCUCGCUCGGUCGCUUCGUCGUUCGCAUCCAGGCGCCACCGCCACUGCUUUCACAUGUACGGGCAUACAUCAGGGCCUAAUCGCCUGAUGGCAAAGGUGCACGGCUGCAGGGCACCUACGAGGAGAGCCAGAGGUCGAGCUGUCGGGCUGCCGGUCGCACCGUGGCAGCGAGUAGCAACGCCGAGCAGUGCCGAGGGCCUGAGCAACCCAUCCCCAUGCUGCCAUCGCGCGGUGUUGCCCAAGGCGGCAGCUAGAGUGACGGCCCAGCACUACUGUGCAGCCACAACUACUUUUCUCCCAAAUUCUGAUUACUCGGUCUGUACCAUUUUUCCUUUAGGCUGUAUACUAUAGCAUUCUGAAUAAUAAAUUCAAUCGCAUGUAGGAUGGUUUGGAAUCUGAACUUUUUGUUCACUCUUUUGGCUG
rnacentral:lncRNA from 1 species